GGGAGCUCAUCACCCGUAAGUGUCUGCCGCGUGCGCGAGAGGGGCCGAAGAAUGGGGCUCUGGGCGCCCGGAGCGGGGGACACCGAGCCCGGCGCAGCCAGGCCCGGCCGGGCGCCGGGGCCGCUCGCUGGCUGGCAGAGCCAGUGGUAUCCUCCCGCAGCAUGGUGGGGGGCGGGGGGCCAAAGGAAAGUUUCUUUGCAGCCGGGGAAGCCGGGGCGCUGCGCAGCCACACGCGCCUCGGGGUCAGGGGCCUGCGGAGCCGGCUCCGGGCCGGGGAGAGGGCGCGCAGGCUGGAGGAGGUGUGUGUGUGCUCGCCGAGCCCGGCUGGACGCUAGCCCCUCCGAGCGGCGUGUGUGGCGGCGGCGGCGCUGGUGGCGGGGGUUGGGGGGGGGGGGGGGGGGGGGUGGGGGGGGGGGGGGGGGGGGGGGGGGGGGGGGGGGGGGGGGGGGGGGAGCCGGGAAGUGGGGAAAAGUUGGCGAGCGCGUGGGUCCGCGCUGACGGCGCGGGCGGAGGAGACUGGGGUGCGCUCCGGCCUGGGGGAACCGCUGAGCGAGGGGUGGCCGCCGGCUCCCGGUUCUCGGUCGCUGAGCCCAGGCCGGCAGGGCGCCGGCCACGCCGGUCCUAGGAUUCCGUAGUCGCCUUUCCCUCCCCUCCGCUGGCUAUUUGCAAAAGAAUCCAGCUGCGCGGCUGUUUGCCUGGCACAAGCGGCCCCCUCCCCAUUUCCCCACCUCCGUCUCCUGGGACGGUCUUGCCCGAUUUCCCCCACUCCAAAAGGGGGAAAAAAAAAUGGUGGUGGGGGUGGGAAUCGGGGUUGGUGAAAAAUCCCCGCCACGGUGAAAAAAAAAAGGUUGUCAGGAGUGGGAAGAGAGGGAUGCGCCUGUAAAAUAGUAAAAUUAAAAAAAAAUUAAAAAGGAAGAAGAAAAAAAAAGAGGCCUAUCAAUCUCUUAUCCAUCUAUCUCAGUAUCUUUCAUCUUCCCUAUCUACAUAAACAAGGCAGGUCGCAGCGGAAAUCCACCGAAUGAAAUCGUGUGGAUUUCAAGCAAGUGGCGGGGCGUGCAGAGUCAGGCAGCGGGUCAGACACGCAGCAGUUUCCAACGCUCCAGCUGGGUUUAUUUAGAAAAGAAAAAUCGCGAGCGCGAGCGGCCCAGGUACGAUGUUCCCGCUCUGUUGCACAGGGAAGGUCCGCCCGCAUCGCUCCCAGCCCGCCGCAGCCCGCCGGGGACUCUUCCUCACGGCGCGCGAACAUUUCCCCGCCGUUCCUUUCUGUCGCGGUGCCUGGGUCGCCGUUGCUUUUUUAUUUAUUUUUUUUAUUGCAAUGGAAAUAAAACAUCCUCUGGGUGUCAUCGAGACCGGAGACGAGUUGUAUUCCUGCAGUCCUCCGCUCACCUCGCCAGGCUGGGGCCGUGCUCCGGCUCAGAGCUGGAGAGGGCUGCGCGCUCAGCCGCCGCCGAGGACUGGCUGCCGGGCGGCCGAGAGCCGAAUAUUUAUGUUAUAUUUUAAAAAAUUUAAAUAAAUAAAUAAAUAUAUAAAGGGGUUCUCCCCUCCCCUGAAAACCCAGCAUAGGAGCCAUCUGCUCGGAGCAAUUGCUGUUGCCAUCUCUCCUUUGUUACAGCAGAUACAUUAGUAAGAAUUUGUGGAUUUAUUAUUAUUAUUGGGGGGGGGAGGAAUAGAUAUUAAUGUGAGCUUCUUGGGAGAGGAAUGCCUUUUUGGAGGGAGGGAAGAGGACUUCUCUUUUUUUUCCCCCGCUAUUGUAACAUCAAAGAAGAGUCGCUGGUUGCAUUUAAAACAAAAUGUUUUGCAACCAGAUUUGAGCGUGGUUUGAUCAAGGUCCUUUUCGCCAGUUGACAUUUCGUUCCUUCACCAAGCCGCAGCAGCAAUUGCUUAUGCUUAUUCUACAACUCCCCCCCGCUUUAGAUGGGGUGGUUGUUAAAACGUCUAUACUUGCAGACGCCUAAUUUCUCCAGGAGGCAAUUUGCCCCACGGAGCCUCUGUAUAAUUGCAAGGGUUGUUUUUGAGGAGGGGGAGUAGGGGGGGUGGGGAAGGGGGAGAUGUUGGGGGUGCAUUGCCGAGCUGGCAGCCGAGACAGGAACCAGGAGCCUUUGCAGUUGUGUGUGAGGGGAAAGAGGCAGGUAGGUUUGCCUGCUUUUGCUCUCCACUCUCCUGGCAUUCCUGGGACGUCAGGAGAAAACCCUGGGCAGGAGGACUGGUGGCAGCUGGGCAUGGGGGCGAGGGGUGCCUGGUGCAACAUCCUUCCAUCUGGGGAAAGCCGCUGAUGAUACUGGAGCAGGGGCAGCGAGGGAAAGAGAAGCAAAGAAGGGUGGUGGGUAGAAAGAGGGGACGGAGAUGAGGGCGUGAAGCAGUCUGCCUGCCUUCCAGGGGCACAGGGAGUCCUGGUUUGUGCAGGGAGAGUGGUCCAACCAGUUCUCAGACAAGGCUACUUAUUAUCCAAAAGCAGCUGGCUUUUCUGCCUGUCCUGUGUCACCCGGGAGGUGGGAGCUAGCAGGGGAAGGCAAGAAUCAGAGGCAGUUGAGGCUGCCUGGCCUGGGGAUUUGCCUUUCUCCAGACUGUAGAGGAGCCUUAGGGUGCUCUGGAGCUCAGGCUAGCAAAGCAGGUGCCCUUGCAAAUCCCACCUGGUGUUACCAUUUGAGAUUUUUAAAUAUGAAAGAAACCACCUAAAACGUAGCAUGGUCAGUAGCCUGAUCAGUUGGGCGGCAGCCUGCGGGCCUGUGGGGCAGCAGCCUUAGGUUCUUUAGGGAUGAUGCAACUUGGGCUAACUGAUGGCCUGGGAAACCAGAAGAGCACACAAAUAGCAUCCGUGUUCUUGGUCAGGGGUAAGGAGAGGGGCUCCAUAAUGAGUUAGUUCAAUUUACAGACAGGACUGGUGGGGAGAAGAGCAAGGUAGGAGAGAGUGAGGGAGACAGCUGGAAAUGAAAACCUGGGCUUCUGGUUUGUUUCAAAUGUUUGACCUAGAUGAAUAUAGCUUUUAAAACUGGAGGACAGUCACAGCCAUUAAUAAAAACAAACACAAAACAACACAGUAACAAUAGUGAAAGAGGACGAAAGGGGGGAGCGGCUGACCAGGCAGCGAGAAGGACCCAGAGCCGGCCGUGCUAGACAGGGCCAGGGUGAAGGGAAAUGUACUCAAAUCCUUGGAGGUGCUGGAGGCUGUCUGAAGAAACUGAAUAAACCAAGAUGUCCAUGAUAAAUUAUGUGACCUCAAUUAAGGUGAAUUUUCAGCAACCCACCAACAGGUUUCCUCGGAAGAUCAAUAAUUUUCGGUAUGAAUUCAUGAUUUUGCAAAACAGAGACCCAGGAUUUGACAGGGAAGUUAGGCUAACUGUUUUAAUUCCACGGUCGCCUUUUAAAUUAGCUUUUGCUGUAACUGUAUGUUUUGAAGGUGGCUGUGCUUACAAUUACCCUAACUCCCUAGAGGAUGGUAUAUCUACAAUGGUCCACUUAUCUUUCAAAACUGGGCCUCUGAUAAAUUUCAUAAGACAUGGGCCCUCCUUUUCUUCUGUUAUUAUUAUUUUUUUCUUUUUUGGUAGUUGGGUGGGGACAGUGAAGUUUGUCUCCCUUCUGCACAGAAGGGAACCCCAUAUCAUUAGAAGUGUGAUAUGUCAGCUGCUUCGAUUCCACGGGAGAAUAAGAACGUGCUCAUGCAAGGUGUUAUGCCAGGCUGGUUUUAUUCAUUUGUAAUUCACACCUGAGAGAAAACAGUCGUGAGCAUAUUUUAACAACUCCUAAUAUUUUUAAAGGGUAUUUUUUUUCCUACCUGAAGAUUUUGUACUUAGGCAUAUUUCUUUCUUUUUUUUGGGGGGGGGUGGGGAGUGUUGUUAUCUGCCUCAGCCUUGAUGUUGGUGGUUUUGCUUGGCCUUCAGAAUAUUUUAUACCCAAAAAGAAACCAUUUCUCCAGUUCUAGGGCAAACACGGUUGUGUCUAGAAGCGGGCCUUAGAAGCAUCCAAGGGGGCUGGGAUCAGAGGGUUGGGUGAGAUGCACUGGUGACCACUGUGUAGACCCAGGGGGUUUUCCUUGAUCGAACAGGGGGCCAAUUUUGGGUGCAUUUGACAGUAAUUAGAAUGAUGUCUCAGGGGAAAUGAAGCAUGUAAACAGUCCGAUUGCGGAUCCCGGUUUCCGACUGAGGAGUGAGCAUACCAGUUUCCAGGGCCUUAUCAGCAGGGCACUCCUGGCUCUGUCUUACAGGCCACACAGCUUGUACCGUGCCUUCCCUUCGCCCUGUGCAUCUCCUAUCCCGAUUGCUUUGCAUUCUCUGUUGUUUGUUGUGAUAAAAUACUUUCCAAAAUAAACUUUCAGUGGAAUUGGCUUUUGGUUCAUGGCAAGCCUGAAAUACUGAGCUUCGCCUAGCGCCGCUCGGCAGCUAGGGGGAGCUCGGUGCCCGUGUCAUGGCUGGUGGCGCCCCUGCUACAAUGGCUAGGAAUGGGCUUCCAUCAGCAGCCGGCAGUUUACGUUGCUGCAAAAUGUCUUAAGUGUGAAGUUGUAAUAUUGAUUUUCCUGUAGAGAUUCGUGCAGGACAAAAUGAGAAUAUAAGUUUGAGAAAUCUAUUUUCAAGCCAUCGCCAUUGAUUUACAAGCCUUUCCUUGGCAGAUGGAGGUAUUUUCUUUUUCUUUAAUUUUCUUUUUCUUCUUUUCUUUCUUUCUUGCAUUUUUUUAACAAUUAAAAUUAUUAGUUUUGGAUGAGUGUGUUUUCCUGAUUUAUCUGUGGUCUUGACAUUCUGAAAAUGACACUCUGUUGUUAAGGCAUUUGUGAUCCAGCUGGGGGGGUCGGGAAGAGGGUUCAUCAUUUUGAGUAAGGCGCACCGUCUCUUUCUGGGUUGCAUGUUACAGAUCUGGGGACACAGAGAAUCGCUGCAUUGGGGAGUUUUGUACCUAAAACAGUUUGAUGAAUGGAAAUCCUUUUAGCUCAGAGUUUAUAACACUUGGGUUCUCAAUUCCACUUAUUAGGUAAUGCUCCCCCUGUACUGGAGGAAAUAGCACUAUUCCCCAAAGAUAUCAGAUGCCAACUCAAAUAAUGUGCUAAACUUUGUUUAGAAGGAGCAUGUGCUUGCCAGGGCCCCUGUUGGAGACCUUUCACCCCAGGCAAUGCCCUUCAUGGAUGGCAUGUAAUGAGACCGUCCCCCCCUACAACAUGUCAUUUAGUGUUGGGGAAGAUGCAUGCUUUGGUCAUGGGAUUUUUAGGUCUAUACCAUCUUCUUUACCAAGCUGGACAAAUCUGCAGACAGCACAGUCAGCCUGAAUCUGAUGCUCGAAUUCAGUACGUGAGCAGAAGAGGUUGCCCUGUGACAGGAAAGAGUGCUUUAUUCUAACCUGAAAGAGAGAUAAAUUAGGUCAGACAAAAGCCGAGUGCUGUCAUCGGCUGGAGAAAGAGGGCCAGCCAUUUAUCUGAUGAUUUCUCUACUUCAGUUAAUGUUCGAAUGGAGCAUAUAGCGACAGCAAGCUCUCUGGACAACUUAGGGAGGAAGAGCCACCGUCACCUCUGGAAGGCUCCGGCCCAGCAGUGGCCUCUGGCCUGCAGAAGACUGUUAAGAAAAUUCAGUUUAGAAAUCCCCAGUCCUUUGCCUUGGAACCUGCGGAGCUCGCAGGCUGUGGCUGAGCCCUGACCACAGGCAUGACAGUGCACAUAAGACAAUAAGAAGGACUGGAGGGAUGGGUCAGGGUCUUGUCCUUUGAGGACUCUCUCCACUCAUCUCCAGGGGCUGAAAGGAGGACCCUCUGGCUGCCUGAUUGGGCCUCACCUUAAGCUGAAACUCUCUAAGGACUUUGGCUUCUGGUGUUACAUCUGGGGAGGACAAGGGGAAAAUAAACGCUCUCAGGGGACCAUGCUCUGCACAGCACAGCACGGCCAAGUUACUGAUUCUGGCCGAGGGACCCUCUCUGAAGACGGAGCUAGUUGUAGACACACUCAUGUACAUUUUAAUGGGACCGAGGUAUGGAAGAAUGUAUGGGGAGGUGCUGACCCAGGGAUGAACAUCAGUGUCUUCCAGCUGCCGACUGGCUUUGUCACUUUGCAGUACGGUUUAUUUACUCACAUGAUCCAACCUGGGGUCUUGUGUGUUCUGUCUUUUCCCUGCUCCCUGAUCCCGCAAAUCUGCCUUCCCGCCCCAGGGAGCCAAACAUUGGUGAUAUCGUUCACAUUUUUUCUCCCUGCUCCUCGGGAACAACCGUUUGUUCACCGCCUGCCUCCCUUGAGCAGUAGGUUUUCCCAGGAUGUGUAUGCAAAGCCCGAGAGCAGGCUAUUUGGAGACUCACGAAAGCACAGGGACACACUUCUUGUGUCUGUCUUCUUCAUGAGCUGAUGGAGGGGGUGAGCAGAGUGGCCUCGCUCUUACUGGUAAAAGUGACACUAGAUCGGGGUUUGAUAAAUAGUGCUAGAUUCAUGGGGACUUGGGUCCAGCAUUUUGACAUAUGCAAGUUUUCUGUGUAGUUGCUGAAAUUCAAGAAAUUCAUUUUUUUUUUUUUUUUCCUCUGUGGCAGCUGAUAAUUUGCCUGGGUGUUGAAUUAGCCAGCCCGAGCUAUUUUACUGUAAUGAAAUCCCAGACCACACAAAAUUAAGUAACUUCAAAGUAAAAAGAGGGGGAAAAAACUCCUCUGUUUUUCCAUAACUUUUUUAUGACCCCCUUCCACUGAACUGCUGAAAUACAAAUCCAUUUGUGAAACAUUCUAAUGAGUCUUGUAACAUGCAAGGCUGACUCAAGAAAGUCCAAUGCCAAUGUUAUUGUGAUUAACAUGUGCCGCAAAUGGAUGCACUGUUUAGAAUUUUUUUAGUAAUGGGGUCAUGUUGAAAUUUCUACCUUGGAAACGAGAUGUUGGAAGCAGCUCUUGCCCUCGUGAUGUUGCUGUCGGCCUCUGAGAAUCUGAAUUCUUCCAGUCCAAGCCUCGUGGUCCAGGGGCCCUUAUGGAAGUCCUUUGAAAAAGGACUGGCGCCUUUGAAAAAGCAUGAUGUUAAAUAAAACAAAUCUCUUCAUUUGGCCACAAAGAAUGCUUUUGUGUCACAUCAUUAUGAGCCCCAUUGUGGCUCUGAGAUUUAAGGAAUUUGCAGUUUUGUAGAAGAAUGUGUUAAGAAGGUGUUCUAUAGUGGGAAAUUGUUUUUUUCUACCCUCCUUUAAGGAAGUGUUUUACUCAAAACAUGGGACACUUCAUUCUUUGGUGUUGAGGAUUUAAUCUUUCAUUUGUAGCCUUUAAGUAAGGAUCUGUGCAUAUUCGGGGUGUGGCUUCCUUAUUGGUUUGUUCCUUUUUUUCUGAUUUAGGGUUGAUGAGACCCAGAUUCCUGAGCUCAGUUUUUGGGGUUCUGGACAACUAAGUGCAGUGGGGAGGGGAGGAGGCUGGACUAAGCCUGUGGAACACCCCUGGGUGUUUUGUAAGGAACUGUCCUUCAUCUGUCCAAAACUAGGCUGGCGUUUCCCAGGACUGUCUGUGUGCACGGGCUUCUCCCUUGCACCACUCAAUGUUCCACUCAAGUUUAUUGACAAUGUGAGUGAGGUUCUUUUUCCCUGUAGCCACAACCUCUUCACUGAUCAGGAGUUCCUUGUUUCUUGGACUGGGGGCUUGGCCCACACCUUUCCCCACUGGCCACGUGAGCAGGAGCCUGGUCAUCCUUCCAGAGGGGGGAACCUGACCCAAGUUGGUGACCAUGUUUUGCACUGGCUGCCUGCUGUGUAUCUUCUUCCCAGAUGUCAUAAUGGUGAACAUUUUAUUUCAAGGCCUGUGCUAUGGUUGGCUUAGAGUGGACGGGGUGGUGGCCUUAGUGUGCAGCUGUCCCUCCAUGGAUGUGGUCAUUGGAGGGUCUCUGGAAGGCACAGGGCUUUGACACCCAGAACAGGUUGGACUCUGCAGUUCACUGAGCAUGGUCAGGGCGCAGAGGGCUCCUCCACAUAAUGCUUCCUGCUUCAGACCCUGCCUGGCCGUGCCCCCUGGCUGCUCCCCUCCUCCCUUCUUCAUGUCCUAACCCUGCGCGGCCCUGCGUGGACAUCCUUCCCAGCACGUCUCGCUCUGCCUCCGUCUCGGCCUCUGCCAGGCUUUAUCAUCCCCUCAGCUGGGAGAACUUCAUGAAAUCUCUUGUCCUGCCUUUUGAGCAUCAUCUGGUCAUAGGUUAUUUUCUACACCAAGAAUUGAUUCCUGCUCUCUCCCAUCCACCCACUUCUUGCCCCUCCCCAUGGUUGUUAUUUUCCCUUGGAUCCAAUAAAUUAAAAAUUGAUGGCAGCUCAGAAAGUGUUGUGCUCUGUCGCGUGCGCGCCUUGGUGGCGUUUCAGUGUCGCCUGGAGUCUCAGUCCCUCCCUGAACGUUCACAGCGAAGAGAAUAAAAAGAUCCCUUUGCAGAUUACUGGUAAGCAAGGGCUUGCUAGCAGAGGCUGCGACUUCGUAGGAAGCAGGUGCAAAGUCUCCUCGGUGCAGAGCUCGGGCGACGGAUGCUCAACAUCUCUUGUAAACACGAGUACACAUCACGAUGGCGGCUGUGACGUUGGCGGUACACGGGUUUAAGAGCCUGGUGCAUCUCUCCUCACCCCUCCCUCCCGCCCCCCAUCACCAAAACAAUAAUUCUGCCUGGAUUUCUUCUGUACUGUGGGUUAGCCAUUAAAGAUAGAGAUUUGGAUUUGAAUUGACACAGAGUGAAGGGGAACAGGAGCCUAUGUGCUGUAUAUGUGGCAGGGCACGUGUGUGUGUGUGUGUGGUGUGCCCACAUGUAUGGAGCUGUGCACAUGCCCUGUACUCUGGGGACAGCAGGUGACCGACCUCUUGGCUGGAAUUCCCCGUAGGGCAGGUACAGGGGUGGUGGUUAGAGAUGGACCCGGUCGGGUGGGGCCUCAGGAGCCCAGUAUGUGGGGAAAGAACUCCCCAGGUGAGGCCUUGCUGAGCCCUCGAAGGGCCCCUGUUAACCUUGUCUCUGCGUUUCUGCCUUCUGCCCCAAAUUCCUUCCCAGCAGAGCUGCGACAUGGGGAAGUUUGUCUUGGGAUCAAGUGCUCCCCCUCCACUUAACAACGAUGCCCAUUAUUAUUUGUGAAGCUUGAUUUCAUUGCUUCUAAACGCGUUUACCAGCUGGGAGGAGGCCUAGCCUUGUAAAUAAAAUGUGGUUUUGUUGUAAAAGAAAACUCUGUGUGUGUGUGUGUGUGCGCACACACACACAUGCAUGUGCCUGAGGAAAUAUAUAUUUGUUCAUACACUUUAGGGCUGAACAUUUCAGAAGCCUCCUCAGCCCUCUGAUUUCUGACAUUUGAGCCAGUUGCCUGCUGUAUCCAUUCAUUUUUCCUCUUAAUGAGUCAAACAUUGUUGCCAUCGCUGGCUGAUAGUAUACAGAGAGCAGAGAUAUUUUGCAGGGCCGCCUGACACUGGGGAAGUUUCAUAAAAGCACCUCUCACCAUAUCUUUUGCCCUAUUUUUUUUAAGGCCCAGCUUUGCUGGAUGUGGCUGUAGGAGGACUGGUUUGUGGGGCUUGGGGAUUUGAAGGGCUGCUUUUAUUCGUCUCUUCUCUUUCCUGGGGUUUUCUCCUCUCUGGUGGAAGUUUUGACCUCCGAGGUGGUGCAGAGUUGGGGUUACGUAUAAAUCAGGUGUCCAUAGGACAGAGGAGGGGGCUCCCGAGGACGGGGCACCUUCUCACCUGCCUCUUCUCAGGACUUUCUCCUUUUCUGUCUUUCAUUAUCGGUACAGUUCUAAGAAGGGACACACGCACCCUGCACCACACACACACACACACACACACACACAUGCACGCACACUCACACACACCCAACAGGCCCAGCCCGGUAUCCGCCUGCCAGCGGAAAUGAAACCACAGUCUUUGGGGUGUCGUUGCAGGCCCUGAGCUUCAGGCCUGAGCUGCCUUGUCCCACCUGCUUUGACCCAGAAGUAGAGUGGUUUGGGGUUCAGGGGACUCUGCUGCCUGACGCUGAGGGCAACCUUCCCUCCAGGUGUCACAUGGAGCAGGUCAGAGCUCAGUGCUCUGCAGCCUGGGGGUGGGGAGAGGAAUCCCCAGUCUGUGGAGUUGACAGGGUGGACAUGCUGAAUUCUUGGGAGUUUUAUUUUUCAAGGCUGGAAGUUGGAGGGGAAGGAGGGAGGUUUUUUUUUUUUUUUGCCUCAUUUCUUUUCCUCCGAACUCCCUCAGAGGCAGUGAGUUGGGUCCAGGUCUGGGCAUGGAGACCCAAGUUCAGAGCUGAGCCUGGAGCCCUGGCUAGUCUUGGGCUGCCUGAGGGAGGCUGGCAGGGCCUGGCUCCCCGUGAAGGGACUUGACACUGAAAUCGGGUCUGUGGCACUGUCAAUGGCACUGGAGACCUUCAAACUCAAUUACUGGGGCUCACAGGGCUUGCUUCACGAGGAUAGUGAAAGACAGGGACCACCAGAACACCGAGGGAGCACCAGAUGUUACCCCCAGAGAGAGAGAGAGAGAGAGAGAGAGAGAGAGAGAGAGAGGAGCUGGUGCAGAGUCUUGGCCAAGGAGGCCUGGAGACCGAGGGAUGCUGGUGGCCAGGCCUGAGUGACCUUUGCUAAUUUCAAAAUUUAUCUGUGUUUCUUUUGAAUUAGGAAAUGCAUCUGUAGCUUAACACUUCUAGCAGAGAGGAGGUCUCUCGGCUGGGCUGGCUAGAACAUCUACCCAGGAGGGUGCACGUGGCUGUAAAUGUUCAGAAAAAAAACAAUAAAAAAGUCAGCUGAAGAGUCAAUUAGAAGACAGAAAGGGCUCCUGGCGCUUAGCAAGGGCGACCAAGUCGGGAAUGUGGAGGCCACGUUGUUUUUAUCAGUGCUGUGCGGGAGGCAGCGUGCCAGGCUGCUCAGGGGUGGCGUUUAGAAGGGAACCAGGUACCUACCUUGCCCCUGUUCUGUUUGAAUUCUCAAUUUCAUUUUGUCCUUUUUUUUUCUUUUUUUUCCUCUUUUCAGCUCAUUUCCUUUGUGCUUCUCUCUGUCUCUCUCUCUUUUUUUUAACAAAACAAUAUUUUGACAUCCUCCUCCCAUUUAUUAGCGCUCCUUCUCUAGAAAUGGCGCACAAUACAUCCUUAUAUUUCUAAAGAACUGUUUUCACAGCCCUCUCCUUUGGCUCUGAAAUUAUGUAUAUGUAAUUGGUAAUUAAAGGUGCGAGCUUUUCAAUAUAAACAGUAUUGCUCAAUGUUAGAUCAUUAAAGGGAAAAGAGGCACCGAAUAAUUACCUUUUACGUCCUGACAAACCGUUCACAGGCUUCUAGGCUCUCCCUCCAACCACUGUUCAGCGGGAAGCUUGUGAUUACAUUUGAACCAUAGCAAAGCAUCUUUUCAUAAAAUAAAUUGGUAAAUUAAUUAUGUAGCAUUGUCUCCAAACUCCUUUUUAAGUAAACUCCGAUUUCUUUUUAAAGUGUAAUUAAUGGUCUGUGGGACCGGCUUUGUGAGGACUGUUUCUUUACCUUGUCGGAUCUUUUUGUUCGAGGUCUGCAGACGGCAGAUGUAGGAUUUCCUCAUCUGCGGGGUGUUUUUGUGCUGCCACUUUUCUGACGCAUUUCUACGUUUAAUUCAUCAAGGGCCCUGUCUGCCCUGCUGUAACCACAGGCGGGAUCUCCAGUCGCGAUUUCCCUUCUCAGCGAUACCUGUUCCUCUCCCUGUCCACACACAGUUCGGACGUGACGCUACGUCACCAGCCCCAGCUUCUGUGCUGAGUUUUCCCCACGGGCUCUCCAGGGCCCUGAGCAAAAGUCUGCGUUCAGAAAGCACAGAGCAGUGAUUUCUAUGUCGGAUGGAAGAUGCCACAGAAUUUUUUCCUUAAAUUAUCUGUUCUUUGGCUCUGUCCUUUUGGUAACUUCACUGCCACGGAAUGCGUUUCCCUCCCUCCCAGUCCUUCUCCCCGUCCUUCUGUGGUUCUCAUUAUCCUUCCCUAAAUACCACGCGGCUGGAGAUCUACCUGCCUCCUUGGCCUUAGACCCCGGGCUCCUCUGAAGGUCCUGCCACUUGCCCUGCCUACAACCCCACUGACGUCUGCUCUCAGAACAUUCCAGGCCGAGUCUGCUCAGGCCUCAGGGACUCUGAACCCUGCUGUCACCCACUUCCCCUUAUGGAGGACACUUUUGGCUGUGGACUUCUGCAGUUUCCCCUUGAGAGGGUGCUGAGUUUAGAGGCAUCCAUUAGCUUCAGAAUAUUCAGGUCCCGUGCUCCUUCCCAGCAUUGUCCCUGCGAAAACAACCAGCAGAGGAAAUAUACUGGUGGCUAAAGAAAUAUAAAAACACACAGCCCAUCGGACACGUGCUUAGGUAUUUGCCAAGAAAUGCUUUUGGAGUCUGAAGAAUUUUUUUUUUCUUUUUCUUUUCUAUUUCUGAGCAUGAAAGUAAAACCAACCAACAAAAAGGGGCAGAGAGGAGCGGAUGGGUGCUGAGGGGCGCUGAGGGGUGCUGGGGAGCAGGCCAGCCUGCUCCCCUGCGCCGACCGCCUGGCCCCUGCGCCCUUCUGUAGCCUUCAGUGGUUUUUGGAACCUGACACUCACUUGUCGCUUGCUGAGCGUGUGGGCUUCUUUCUCUCACAAGGACCGGCCCUCCACGCCCGUCUGGGUUUCUGUUUCCUAGUUUGGUGCGAGGCCAGGGCUCAGGUAGAGGAAUGUGAGGAGGAUGGGUAUGGAUGGGAGAACAGGAACAUGAAUGGCAGCGUCCCAGGGAAGGGAGGGCUGGCAGGUCUGCCCAAGCAGGGGGACCGGGCUCUGGCUCCCUGCUUCCCAGCCCGUCACCUGGGGAGCCUCACACAAUGCUCAUGUUCAGUCCCACUGUGACGGAGCCGGGGUGCAGCUGCCUGGGCAUCAGGAUAUUUCGAAGCUCCCCAGGUGAUGCUCAGAUACCGUGAGGCUUGAGAGAGACGUCUCCAGCUGGUACUGUUCACCAGGAUGGGUGUGACGUGCGUGUGUACAUGUGUGUUCGGAUGCUGUGUUGGGGAGAAACUGGCAGAAAACACGCCAGGAAGCAGUAAAACCAGCACCACCAAUGUGGUACCCUCUGGGAGUUCGGGUGUCUCUCCCGGGGCCUCAGAGUGCCUGGUGGGGGGCUGGCAAUCUCUGGUCCUGGGGAGGGCACCGUGAGCCCCAGCAGCCAGCAGCAGAGGGUGUCUGCUUCUUGGAGGGGAAGGUGGGGAAGGAGCGCCGGGUGCCUGUGAUCGCCUAAGCCCAUCUCUGUCUUCUCUGCCCCUCCCCUGUCUCCAGCAGAGGCUGACCACGUGGAGGCCGCCAUCCUCGAGGAAGAUGAGGGUCUGGAGAUAGAGGAGCCGAGCGGCCUGGGGCUGAUGGUGGGUGGCCCCGACCCUGACCUGCUCACCUGUGGCCAGUGUCAGAUGAACUUCCCCCUGGGGGACAUCCUGGUUUUUAUAGAGCACAAGAAGAAGCAGUGUGGCGGUAGCCUGGGUGCCUGCUACGACAAAGGCCUGGACAAGGGCAGCCCGCCACCCUCGCGCUCCGAGCUCAGGAAGGUGUCGGAGCCGGUUGAGAUCGGGAUCCAGGUCACGCCCGAUGAAGAUGACCACUUGCUCUCGCCCACGAAAGGCAUCUGCCCCAAGCAGGAGAACAUUGCAGGUAUGGAACGUGGCGUUCACCUGGCCGCUGCUGAGGCCGCCUCCCGGGUCCCACGCCCUUGGUCUGAGAGUGCUGGUGCUGCGGGAGGUCUGGGGGCUUCCAGGAUGGCCUCUGGGGCUCCCCCUUUCCGAGGGCCCACCAUCUGGGUGACCCUCUGGAGGAGAUAGGCCUGAGGCUCAGGGAUGCCCUUUGGCCUGGUAGGGCGCUUUGCUUUCGGCUUGGGGACUCAAUGGUGGGGCCUAAUCCAGAGGUGGCCAGGAACACAGAGUGGAGAUCUGGAAGUCUGCGUGGUGCACUCUCUGCUGGUGAUCUUGGCUCAGUCCCUGGCUUUGGAGCCGGACAGUCUGGGGUUGGAGUCUGUUCUUUACAACUGGGAUCCAUCAGUCUGCCCUGCCGUGAAGUGGGCUAGGGGACCCUAGUCUCCGAGGACUCUUGUGAGGACUGAGGAGACGGUGAGCGUGGCCAUGACUGGUAGGCCUCCCUGAGUGGGGGCACUUGUCUCCCCCAUCUCUGAGGCUGCUUCUCACGUUGCCUGACCCCAAGGGUAGGUCUGGGGGAAGGGAGCACUGUGUCCCUUCAGGAGGUUGGACAUGCCGCCUGGCUAACCUGCACAGCGUGUCUGACCACCUUCAGAACAGGUGUGGGGCUUUGCCUGCAUCCCCCAGCAAGGUUCCUUUGCAGUGAGUCCUACCUCCUGGCCACACCAUGGCAUGCUGGUCCCCCCUGGGAGCCACUGCUCUGCAUGCAAACCAGACUGUUCAUACUUCUGAACCCGGGAGGUCUGAGGGAGACAGGGGCCCCUGGCCUGGCUGUGUUCCCUGAGACUGCAGCCUCUCCUGGAGUGCGACAGGAAUCAGAGCUCAGGCAGAGAACAGUUGGAAUCCUGCUGGUUGACUUGGGGCUGGUCACCUCAUGAGCCUAAGUUUCCCCAUUUGUCAACAAGGCACGAUGUCCCCGCAGGCCUGGGAUGAGGGUUUAAUGCACGGGGAGUCCCCAAGUCCUAUCCAGUGCAGCUUUUCUCCCAGGGGUCCCCUCUGGCUCUGCAGCAUGCCAGUAGGUGGCCUGCUGGGAAACUGUGUGGCUGGACCCCACAGUGAGGUCCUGGAGGCUGAACAGGGCACUGGAGGGACUGGAGGUGAUAGAGGUGGGUGUGGCAGGGACCUCCUGUGACCCAGGAGGGUAAUUCACCAAGCCCAUCUCCAGCACGUGGCAGCUUUGUGACUUGGGGCCUCCCUCUGCCCACCUGCACAGUGGUGUCCAUGAGGUCGUUUGAGGUUCCUGCGGCCCAUGCUGGGCAGUGGGUACCUUUUGGUGAGUGCCCAGCUUGAGAUCAUAUCCUCCUUCCCAGAAGCAAGGGGUGAUGCUGCAUGGUUGGGACCCAGCCAUCAGGAGAGAGGGAUGCUGGGUCCUGGGACUGUGUGCCUGCUACUCAAGGGACAGUUUCCAGCAGUGGAUGAACACCCGCUGUCACUGAACACAGAUUUUUCAGGGGUGGCCUCUGGUGAGGUCCCCAUUUAUUCCUCAAUGCACAGACCCACAGCUUUUACCCCAAACACCUGAAUUCUCGUGCCACAUUGAAGUUGUUUCCAAGGAGAGUCUUUGGGUCCCCAUGGCGAGUUUAAGAAAGUGACUCAACAUGAUUUUAUACCAGGAAAGGCUGAUCUCCAAGGCUGCUUUGUCCUUACCCUCGGUCCGUCUUACACCCUGGGUUUUUUUUUUCCUUUUCCCCCUUUUUUGGGUAGUAAUACUGUAGCAGGCUCCAGUAUUUUUAUUUUAUGUGUGACGAAAGAUAUACUUGGCCUUUCUGUUCGGCAACAGGACGAAUGGAUUUCUUCAUUUUAGAAGAAAUAUGUAAAAUAAUCCCUCAGAAGUCUAAAGAGAUAUGUUUGUUCAAAGCAUUUAAAAUGUUAUUUUAAUCAAAGACACACCACAGUCUACACGCUGUGUCAGCGGCGGACGACCAUUCCAUUUAACAGCCUAUCACGGGCUCCUUUCUAGUCCCCGUUCUUCCCAUUUCCCUCCCUACUUUGGUACCAACUUUUCUUUUCGUUCCUUUUUUUUUCAUUUAAUAAAAAAGGAAAGAUUAAAGAAUAAAACUUCAGUGGCUCAAAUGUAUAAAGUAAUUUAAUAUGGUGGGAGCAUUAAUUAUUUUAGCUUAAUUGAAUUCUGAGGACUGCAGUCUUUGCAGUUUUUGAAGACAAGCCCUGUUUAUUAUUUCUCUGUGUAGAUUAACAGUAAAGGAAACACAGAUAACUUUCAGUUAUUUAUUGUAAAAUAAAUGUGUCAAUUCAUGUGUAAAGCAAGCUGCUCAAAGAUAAUUGAGUCUUUAUAUUUUAAGAGGAGGACUAGGAAUCAUGGGUGCUUCUCUGCCCGGGCUUCCGGAAACCCGCACAGCUGCUGCCCCGGCCCUUGGCACGGCUGGCCUCGCUGGGCCCCUCCACUCCUGCCUUCAGGCCACGGCUCCAAGGGUCCUUCAGCUGCUUCAUGGGCUGCUGUUGUCCCUAUGGCCUCGUUGGCCCUGGCCAGUCCCUGGCAAGUGGUGGCAGUUAAUUCUUGGGACCCUACCUCUGGCUUUGGCUGCUGGUGUGGCUGAGCCCAAGGCGAGGUGGCCAUGAGGGUCCCCCUGUGCUGAUCCCAUGCCUCUGCUUUCCCCGCCAGGACCCAGGCUUUUCUCUUAGCAGAGAUGGAUGGGAGGGCUGGCCUAAGUAAGUGGGGUUCCCUCCUGUUCUUCAGUCCCCAGGGUGAGGACUACUGUGGGAACGGGGUCGGUCAUUGCAUGGGGGUGUGGGCCCCAUAUCAGCCUUCUGUCCUUUCCUUCCUUCCUUCUCUCGUGAUAAAUAGGAAGGUGAAGGGAGGCGUUUUCUGGGGCUUCAUCUUCUGCAGGACAUGCAUCCAUUCAUUCUCUGAGCACCUGUGACCCUUUCCUGUCCUGGGCAUCUAGGCUGAGAGGAGAGCCCCCGGGGGAGGGAGAGGAUGUCUCUGUGGGGACCGUGGCCCAGUGUGAGCUGGUGUGAUGUUGGUCCAAGGCCAGACCUCCAGCAUCUGCUGUGGUAGAAGGGCUUCCUGGCUGUGUGUCUCCAGGCCCGCCUGGGGGCAGGGCGUGGGUUCUGUCUUUGGCCUGGAGGUGUGCUAACAGCUGCCCACAUGUGAGUCGUGGGUGUCCUGAGGUCCCUUCCUAUGGCCUCUCCCUGCCCCUGUUGAGGUUCUGCUGGAGCACAGGGUCCAUGUGUGGAGGGCAGACAGGAGCUCCCUGGACCCUGGGAGGGGAGGCGAGAGAGGUUCUAGGUGUGGCAAAGAGCAGAAAUCACUGAGCAGUUAUCUGGGAGGGUGCUUGGAGGAGGACUGGGGAGGAUGGGACCUGGUAUUUGGGGUUUGAAGGCCUUGUGCAGCUUGGGAAAGAACGCAGCCCAAGCAGGAGCCUCCCCUGCUCCCCCCAGUCUGUGGCAUGUGACUCGACCUCUUAGCCUCAGUUUCCUUGUCUGUGCGGGUACUUAAUGAUGAUUGGGUGUUUUUUUUUUUUUUUUGGUGUGUGUGUGUUGGGGGGUACUGGGGGUUGAAGCCAGGGUCAAUGAGCCAUACUCCCAGACCUAUUUUUUAAAUUUUUAUUUUGAGGCAGUGUGUCCCUAAGUUGCCCAGGCAGGCUUUGCAUUUGUGAUCCUCCUGCCUCAGCCUCUCAAGUUGCUGGGGUCACAGUUGUGAGCCGCCACACCCGGCGACGGUUGGGUAUGUCUGACAUGUCUGUGCCUGGUACACGUGGACGUAGCCAUGUGCACACAUGAGCUGCUUCUUGGUGCUUUGUUGUUCCCAACUCUGACAUACUUUGGGGUGUUGGAGUAACCUGCGGAGGUCUCUUUGGAAUGGGGCUCCCCGUUGAGAGUUGGGGAAAAUGUCCUUUGGGUCUGAGGAUUUCACUAUCACAAACGCUGUCAGAGUGAACUGACUGCGGUUCAUGUCUGCCCUCUGUCUUUUGUCACGUUAUGUCACACAGUGACAGCUCUAUGCUGGACUCACCCUGGGGAGGGGCUGGGGCCUGGGCGUCUUCUGGGUUGAGCCCUAGUGUCCUUACCUGCUGGCCGUCCAGGUGAGAUGCCUCACUUAUCGGGCCUGUCUCCACACCUACUUUGCAAUGGUAAACCGAGGGCGAGAUGAGAUGGUGCCGGGAAACACCCCACCAGCCUGCAGGGGAGCCAGAGGCAGCUACCAAGACACUUCUAGAAAGCCGAGCUGAGGAAAGUGUGGACCCCGCUUGGCAGCAUUCAGGGGGGCUUGCUUUUCUCAGUCAAAACGUUUGCGUACCGACCUGGGAUUUCUAAGCGGUUUCUUCCAGACACUUCCUUAGCAUCACCAUUAAUAGCACUGGAGCGAGGGGCCUGGUCCCUGGUCAUUCAGGUUUCCAAGGUAUCACCCCUUCCUUAGCCCAAAGAAGCUGCAGCGGGGAGGGUACUGGCCAUCACUCAUCAGUUUGCUUUCCCCCCUGUCCCCACAAACCCAGAACGUAAGUUUCUGGAGAAGUGCAAAGAUAGGCAGCAAGUGACAGAAGGUAGCAGAUCCCCCUGGGCUGGGAGGUGGCCGGCACUCCCUGCUGGGAUGUUCUUGCCAGCUUUGUCUGUCUUCUUCUGGAACCUGGGAGUGGCCAGGGAGGAGCUUGGGGGGUUGUUACAACAGGCAAGGUACAGAAGGGACUUCAGUUUGGGGCCCAGUGACCAAGACGUAUUGGAGAGAAGGGCUUCUGAUGAGUCUCAGGAUUUAUAUGCUGCUCUGGGAAUAUUUGCUUCAGACUUUAAAAAAAAUAAAUAAAAUAAAUGCGAAAAAUUAUUAGCUUGGCCAGUGGAAGAAACUAAAUAACUUGCUUGUGCUGGAAACUGGAGAUAAACCCCACUCACAGGUUGUCUUGAGAAACUUGCAUUUGAUCUAUUUGGAGUUGUUAUUUUCCUUCCAAAUUAAGAUUAGUUAAAUCCAUGUGCGUUGUGGCAUGGAUUAUCUCUUUUUAUUAUUGAAUCAUGACAGCUAAUUAUUAGUUCUGUCUGCACCGAGGAACAGUGCACUGUCUGUUGAGGGACAUGGCCCUGGGCGCAGGCUGGGGGCUGGGUGCAGGUGCUGGCAGGUUGACCACGCCGCUCAGGCAGGCAGGGGUGAUUGGAGGAGCCAGGGGUUCUACUUGGUACUCCUCACUGUGCUACGUGUGUUUCCUGAGUUAUCUCACUGAAUUUUCUAACCUUGAAAUAGAUAUUUCUAGCCCUACAUGGAAUUUGGGCUUUGAGAGGUUGAGGGACUUGCCCAAGGCCACAGAGCAAAGGGGAGUCAGACCUGGGCUGGCCUGGCUUCCUUGGGUGACUGGAGACAGGAGGCUUUUAGGGAGAGGAGUUUGCGUGUCUCGUUGGUAGAGCCAGUGGUGACAGGCACUACUCCGGGACCCCAUGUGGGAUGGCCCUUGCAGCCCAUCACAGACAUGGCCUUGGUGGAUACAGCCAAGAGUCCGCAGGUUCCUGGAAACCUUGCCUGAGUCUGAGGCACCGUCAUCUCCUUUCCUGUUUGGUGAAGGUUUUGGAGAGGCAGGUGGCAGCGCAAAAAGCAAUAAAAUAUUAAUUCACACGGGCCUGGGCUGGGUUUUUUUUCAUACAUGCAAAUGUGUUUUAGUCUAUAUUCAUUGUCACACAGCACCCCCCCACCCCAUAAAUAACUGCUUUAUUUUGUGGAAUUUUGGGUUUGCAGGAGGCUUGCUUGUAUGACUUCCAGUUACUCAUUCACCUCCCCAAAGCGGAGCCCCUAGAAGGCAGGAGCUCUCUUUCUUAUCUCCGGCUUGCUAGAAGGUCUGAUUUGGACAACGUGGGCAUAAAAUAGGUCCCUGUGGGCUUUGAACUAUUUUUAAUAAUAAAGAGCCAUUGGUGGGAUCCAAAGGAAGGUUCUGGCCUCCUGAUCUGAGCCAGGAGCUUCUUGCUGCCACUCUCCCAUCCUUCCCUGAGCGCAGGGCCUUAAGGCAGGCCAUCCACCGGGGGUGGAGUUCCAGGGUCUUCACCUGUAGAUGCAGCAAGCAAUGCCUGUCCUGCUGGCCCUGCAAGGUGGGGGCAGGGGACAGAGGCUACUCACAAACUACAAACCAGAGCAGAGGACAUCAGCAGGGCCACCUUGACUUUAGCCCUGAGUUGUAGUGGAAUUUUUUAUUUUUAAAUUUUUUUUUAAUUUCAACAAACAAGGACAAAAAUACGGGUCACUAGAAGGAUGGUUUCUUUCCCCCUUUGGGGGUUUAUACAGGUGGUUCUGCACUCCCAGCAGCGCGUCAGGAAAGAGGGAAGAGAGCAGAGAAGGACAACUGGGCUCCCGUGGGGAGAACUUAACCAACACUCAGCCUCAGUUAUUAUUAUUGUUAGGGUUUUUAUUUGACAAUAAAUAGUUAGCAGUUGACUUAAAUUUUUUAUUAGGCACUUGACAGUUCUGUUUUUGUCCUUGUUGCUAAUGUUCACGCCUGGCUAAUGCUUGGCCACUAGCUCUAGAAUCUGUUAGGAGUGGGCUGUAUGUUGGUGAUCUGUAAAAACAGGCAGCCUGGGGUCACUUUUGUGCCCUUGGGGUCACCUUUUCACUGGGGAAACAAAGAGAUCUUGGAUUUUUGGAGCUUAGUAUGUGCUAUUUGAAGGGCUUUGCAAAGAGUAACUGAUUUAAUCCUCCCUACAACCUCAUAACAUAGGUGCUAAUGUGAACCCCACUUCACAGAAGAGGAAACUGAAGCACAGAGAUGUUAAGUCAUUUGCCCAAGGUCACACAGUGGUGAGUUAGGGCCCAAGGUGUCAACUCCAGCAGUCAGCUCUUCACUAUAGAAACCAGGGCUGCCCGUGGUCACAUUUCAUCCUGCGUUCCCAUCUACUCUACAAAGAUGGUGAAGCAGAAAUUGGUUUCAUUUUGUAAAGGAGGCAGCCGAGUGCAAAGGUGGCUAAGUGCUGUCACAGCCACCCCAGGAGUUGCUGCCUCCACGGUGCCCAGAACCAGGCUCCUGGCUCCCCAGGGUGAUGCUGGGUCUUCACUGGGCCACCGUUGUCUCCCAGCAGCCCAGGCCCCGGGGGAUCCUGUGGUCUUUUAAUGCUCCUGGUGCAGGCCCCCUCUGCUCCUAGCUGGGUGAUGAGGAAUGACGGCCAGUCUUCUAAUGAUGGAUCUCCAUCAUGGUAGCUGGGGCCUAGAGGGUGUGAAAGAACCUGUCCCAUACAUGCCUGUGGACUCUGUGUGGGCCGCCGACUGUGGACUGUGCCUCUUGUGAAGAGCUGCCCCUGACCAGCUGGGUAGCAAUAGGCAGGUGGUCUGCGGCACUGCGUUCGGUGAGGGGCAGGCAUGGUAGACUCUGGCCUGAGGCCUCAUCCUGUGGCUGACAAGCUGUGUGGCCUUGAGUGGGCCCUCUCCCCUUCUGGGCCUGAGCUCCUGAGCUGAGAAUGUGCUAAGGAACCACCAGUGGCUUCCAACAGCUGCAAGAGCCAGGCUGGGGGGGCGGGGGUGGGAGACCACAGCUUCCCACCUAAAUCCCCUCCCAUCCAGCAACCCUGACGUGACUCCGCUGUCACAUGCGGGGUGCAGGAAGUACGUUUUCUCUGAAGAAGCAUGGCUGGCAGUGAAAACUGUUAGAAGAAAGACUCCACAGCGUCCUUCUGCCCAUGCGGUCAGGUCACCUGGGAGGAUUUCUGUACUCCCCGGAGGUUGGAGUUAGCUCAAGGCCCCUCUGGGCCAUGCUGCAGUUGUGUGGUUUGGUUUUGUUUUCAUUUUGGUAAAAGGGUCCCCAGAAUCAUUUAAACCUCAGGCUCUGCAAAACCUGGGCCCACCCUGGCCCAGACGCUGCUAGGCCGAGGCUGGUGACCUGCGGGAGGGCAGGGAGCCGGAGCUCUGGAGGCAGAGCAGAGGCCAGCUGCAGAAGGCCAGCUGCCAGGGGCUUCUUUUAUUUUCAAGUGGGUUUCCUGCUGGUCUGCUGGUUCUGGUCUGAGGUCCCUGGGUGCUCAGAAAGGAGUCCAUGCUGAGGGUGGCAGGAUGUGGAGAGGGGCUGAGGAACAGGGAGUAGGACCAUGUGGGGAGCCACAGAUCUGGGAAAGCUUUUGCCGACCACAUGGGCAACAUGGAAGCUGGGUCCUAGGCACCUUUGGGGUGAAAAAUAGCACUCCUGGUGUAGAGAGAAGGCAGCUCUUCAGAGGCACCAUCUCAGGACAGCCCUCUCCUCCAAGCCAGGGGUGUUUGAUCCUGGCUCUUGUCCUUGGGGAAGGGUAGCUUCCAGGACUUCUGGGCUGUCAGUCUCCGUCAGCCAGAACACAGCCUCAAAGGUGCAGGCCUUCAGGUGCAUGGGUCAGCACCCACCCAAGAUGACCCCAAAGGCACAGAGACCUGCAAGCUGACAGCCCCAGGGCCUGGAUUGUGCUCCAAGUGAUGGAGCACAGAUAGACAUCUGUCCAAUCCCACAUGGCAGCCAAAGAACCCUAACCCCCUGAUGACUUCAGAAGCCAAAGUCAUCCUCGAAAGUCCUUGCUCAGGACAGACCAUGCCUUCCGAAGGGUACAGCCUCCCAGGGAUCCAGGGGUCCUCUCUUGGGGUAGGGGCCAGGGACUGCCUGUCUUGGACUCAGUGUGACCCCAGUGUGGAUUCUUCUCCCUGAAGGAGGAAGUAGAACAAACCUUCCAAUACCCCUUCCCACCUCCAGCAACCUAAAAACAUUGGGGUUGUAGACCCUCACAACUUGGGUUCUCCCUUGGAGUCUGAGCGGGUUCUUUCCCCCUCCCACUACGAGUUCAAAGCCAGCCAAUUAAGAAACCUAAACAGUGCGGUCUUCGCCCUGCAUCAUUGGCUUGUAAAACUUUCCCUGCAAACGAGGCGACUUUAUUCGCUGGGAAAAAGAAGUAUGUAAUUUUCCUGACCUGGCCUUUGCUUUGGGGAGACGAGGAAAGACAGAGAAGUCAUUUCCAUAAACAGACAAGCCCGGAGGCCGCAAACGAGGUCCACACUCCGGUGUCGGGGCAUGCGGACCGCAGCGAGGCGGGCUGGAACGCGGAAAGCGGCCAGCGGCGGGGAGGAGGGUCAGCGCGGAGCGCUCUGCCUUAGGGUGCCUGUGGGGGAGUGGUGGCGGUGGGGCGGGGGCAUCAAAGUCCUCCUGACCCUGCGACUGAACCUUUGCUCCCGCUCCCACGAAACCAGGCGCCACCAGUGCAAUUUCCCAAGUUCCCCGACGAUCGCAACUUGCAAGACUCUGGUCGCCCCCGCCUGCGGCACCCACUCCUUACACCCGGACCCUAGCGCUCCCCAUGCCCAUGCCAACCCCCGCCACGUGCGAGAGCGGCCGGGGCAGCUCCUGCCCUUCAGGCCUGGGACGUUAGGCCCCGCCCUCCCGGAGGCUGCGAGGUUGGGGUCCAUUAGCGCCCCUUUUACACCCAGGCAGAGUACACAAUGGCCUUCCAACAGGCGGAUGGCUGAGCCCUGGCGGGGGCGCGGAACUGACCCGUACCUCCCGGAUCCCACCACGCGGACAAUCGGGCAACUUCGAGACUGUGCCAGGGGCUUUCCCUGCGGCGGUGUUCCUCCUGCGCCUGGCCCGCGUUUCACCGGGGGGCUCCCGUGCCUCGGGACGCGCCUGGUCCUCUCUCGGUCCCCUCCCUGCCCCUGGCCUCUCCAGCCUGCGCCCAGGGCGCGCUGCUCUAUGCCCAUAGGCCAUCCCCUUCCCGCUCUCCCCGCCUGGGUCUCUCCGCGCACGUUGAUUGUGCCUUCCUGGGCGGGAGGGCUGGGGGGCUUCAGGCCCAUGCAUAAUUCGGGGGCUUAAUAGGCCAGCUGCCCAAGCGGGGCUGCGAGGGGCGGGCGGAGGCGCAGCGAACCCUGCCCGCGUCUGGCCCUGCCGGGAAGGCGCGCUCCUUUCUUCCUCCCAUGACAGCUCCCCUCCCCCUCUCGGCCCGGGUCCGAGGAAGGCGCGGGGUGGGCAAGUCGAAGGGCUAAACGUAGGGAGGGGGCGUCCUUAGUGCUUCCGCGUAACUUUUGUUUUGGGGGCUGGGGCGUGCAGCGAUCGAAGCCGCCUCGGGACCGGCUCCCGUGGGAGCUGGAAUACAGGUUUCCUCGCAGCACUCCGCAGCCCUGGAGUCUGUUUUCCGUGCCCCUUCCCCCUGGCGGCCCCCGUCCAGCCGCAGCCGUGCGAGCACGCCCCUGGCCCGGGGCCAGCCCCCUUCCCCGGCUGCCGGCGGAGAUGGAUGGAGGCGGAGACCCAAGGUCAAGGGCGGGGAGUCCGGGGGCCCAGGGCCCCUUUGUGCGCGCCGGCCGCCCCUCCUCCACCGGUCGCUCUCUGCUUGCCCCCCGUGCUUGCGCCCUGGAGGGUGACCUUGUCGGGCAAGGCGAAUUGCAUUUCUGGACCCCUGGAAACUGCCAGUGGCUCCCUCCCCGAAACCACCAGGCACGAGGGGCGGGCUUCCUCUCCACAGUGACAUUUGUCCAGGAUUCCGGGGACGCCCGGGGACCCCCUCUCUGCCCGCCGCCAUCGCCCGGAAGGGUCGCGCGGCCUUCAGCCCGCCAGGUCCUGAUGCAGGUGAGGCCCAGAAGGAAGGAGCCUCAGAGUUCCCUAGCACGGUUUGUGAUCACGCUGGGGAAACAGGCCUUUUCAAAGUGACUUUCUUUGGAAACUACCCCCACCCCUACCCCGCGAAGAAAAAGAGGGAGCCAGUUUUCAUAGAGGGAAAUCCUAGGGCUGGGACUUAAAAACACAGAGGGACGAAAGUGUUUUCCCAAUUGUGUGGGAAUGGAACCCUCUCUGGCAGGAGACACCUGGAAUUAGCCUCCUGGAAUUACAGGGAAUUAAUGUUAGUUCUUCUCUGCCCUGACUCUCUUAUCACUCUCUUAUCUGUAUGCAAAUGGUCACCUUGCUAGGAGCCGGUGAGCAGGUCUUUAUUUUUGCUUCUUAAAAAUUGGCCUCUGAUUGUUGGAAGCACCUACAGACCCUUAAAGAUCACCACCAGCAAGGGUUGGGCCUCCAGUGGAUCUCUCUAGGAAAGGCUCUUAAGAAAAUGCUCAAACAUUUUCCCAAAGCUGUUAUUCUGGAAAUAAAAAUGUAUGCUGUUUGCCUAUGGAAGAUGGAAAGUUUGCCAUCCCUGUGACAGCUUUUCCAGCCCAGGGUUGGAUCCACAUCUCUAUUCUCCAUUAUUCAGAAAUAAGUCUGAACCAGACAGAACACAUCUGCUAUAACAGGCAAAAAUGUUUUAAGCAUAGGUAUAUACAUAUAUAUUUGGGAUUUGAGUCAUGAACAGCGUUCAUUGCACCCUCUGAGCUCUCCAGGUACUGGGUAAAUAGUGUCUUCCUGGCAUUUUGAGUACAAAAAAAAAACCCCCUUCAAAUCCCCGAUUUAGCUAAUCCAAAGUUUGAGCAGCAGGCUCCUCUGGUGGAGGAGUCAGAGGUAUUUGUCAAUUUAUUUGUUGAAAGGCCUGAGGAGAAGGGAACCAAUUCAACACUUGGCAACCCAAAGCUGCUGCCAGUCCUGGACAGGAAGAUUUUCAUAUCUGCCUGAACUUGCUCGUUGAUUUCUCAGACGUCCAUUUAUAACAGUUCCAACAAGAUAGAAUCUGCCUUUGAAUAUCUGUAAAUACGGGUAAAGAUCACAAUCCAGGCUCAUAAUGGGCCAAGACGAAAAGGCAGAUUCUCCUGUUUGAUUAAUAUUUAUGUUACCGGAUUCCUUUACAGAAGAAAAGAUGAAACACUAAUUGUGUGUGUGUUUGAGGGGGCCUCAUCCUAGGUCUCUGCAGUUCAUUUAGAGAGAUGUACAUUUUUGGAUUUUUGCAGGCCAGGUGCGUGUGUGUGGGUAAUUGUUCAUGUUUUGCUUGAAAGACAGGUAUCCUGUGGUUGGUCGACUUAAUGGCUAUUACCCGGGGAGGAGGCCAAUUUAUCAUCUGUUUUCCUUAUUUUGACGACUCAACACUCACAAAAAUUAGGUGUGAUUUCUCUUUUUAGGUUUGGGUUAAGGCUUUGUGCACAGUGGCAGAAGGUUGUCAUUCACAGUCCAGGGUGCUCGCCUUCCUUGGGGGCACACAUCUUGCUGUGUGUCUCUCUGCGCUCUAGGCUGGGUCUGCAGGCACAGGUGGAUUUGCCUUGUUUUGUUCAGGAACAGUGUGGGGCAAGGGGAUUUGCUUGGCCAUGGGGGAUUUUGUCAGCUGGAUCCAGUUGAAAUUCCACUGGUGGAACUGGGAGCCACAGGGCUGGGAGGAGGCUGCUCUUGCAGCCGUUCUUUCUUGAGCACCUUCAAUCUUAUUGCUUGGAGAAACCUAGAUUUUCUUGGAGGAUUGCCUAUGAGUGUGGUUUCCCACGGUGGCACCUGAGUCCCAGUUAGACGUUUGAUAAAUAUUUGCUGGAACGUCAGGGCCCAUCUUAAGGUGAGAGCACCAGAGUGGAGACUCUGGCAUGGAGCCUUGCACAGCCUUUCAGGUAUUUGCUUCCCUAACAGCCCAAGGCAAACCAGUUCCUGUGUUAGUGUCCUUGUCCAUAAAAUGGGGAUGUGCAGUUGUUUGCUUUCCUGUCACCGUCCAGAUAUGAACACAAACCAGUCUGUGGAGCAAAGCAGUUGCUGAUUUCGAAGACAUCAUAGAAGUAGAGGCUGUUAUUGUUCAGUCUGUGGGGGCGGGGUGACUAAUUUGCAAAGGGGAAAGGAAUCACAUAGCUGCUUGUACAGGGUGUCAUUUUUAAUGCAAGGAAGAAGAAUUAAGGGCUUGGGAGAAGGGUUUGGGAGGGAGGACUUAGAUGUUCAAUUUAGUAACCUAAUACGAAUAGGAAACACUCCUUCUCUGUCCCCAUUCAUUUUAGAGGACCUUCCCACUCCCUCUCUCCCCAGCUUCUUGUUCCUCCAGAGGACUGUCAUGUGAUUCAGACUCUUAAUAACAGGGGUGUUGCUGUUGUCCUUGACCAGGAUACCCCAGAAGAGGUCUUUUUGCUGAUAUUUGGGUUUUGGGCCCCAGAAGGAGGAGAGCAGGACAGACGCAGUAGAGACUUGGGUGGGGGAGGAAUGCAUACAGCAGGCAGCCUUUAAGUGCACAGUCGUGCUACAUGCAGGUGAGGAAGGAACGCCAUGCAGACUGGGGAGGAAAUUCCUGUUUUCUUUUUGCUGCCGCCUCUCUGAGCUAACAGAAAUUGGCAUUUACAUCCAUGGAGUACACAGCUGGCUGUCGCGAAAUGGUACCUUCACUGGGGAAAUGGAAGCCUCCAGUGGCCUGUUGGGGUUCCAUUUUACUUUUUGUUGUUUUCCUUUCCAAGAGGCUUGGUUUCUUUUUCCAGCAAUCCUGGGUGACCUGAAUUGGAUUUUUAACAAGGGUAACCUCUGUCAAGGACCCAAACCUCUGGGUUAGUCUUGCUGUUUAGGAAUACAGAUGCUGUCUUUGCACACUUGCCCCCCCGCCACAGGGCCCAGGCCCUGGGCUUGGGUUUUGGGGUGGGGGUGGGUGAGCAUGCCCUCUCCCUUCCCCGUGGAGUCCUUCAUGGAGCCCUUGUUCCGGCAUCUGAGCCCGAGUGGGGUGGAUACCCGAGUCUGUUGUCGCAGGCUUGUGGCCAGGAGGUGUCUGGUGCUUCUUAAUCGAAUACAGAUCUGAGUAAAUUCCACGUGGGCAGGCAACGGUGGCCGAGGGAGGCGGUGAUGCUCCUGUCUCCCUGUGGCUGGACGGGGAAGCAGCUCGUAACCUCCCAAUCCCAGGAGCCUCCCGGCCGUCCAUCUGGCCCACACGUUGUGCAGAAAGGUAGGGAGGUUGCCGAGGAGUUCCAGGACGCCCGUGUAGACGUUGUUUGUGUGAACGGGUUCUUCCAUCUUUUGUUAGUGACAGCUCGUUAAUUAACCAGCAGACUCCUGCCACCCGCCUUCCUCUGACACAUGCAUAUAUUUUGGGGUAGAAGAUUCUUGGUCUCCCAAAACUCUGAUCCGAACCUUUCAGGAAGUCUCCCUACAGUGCUGCCGCCUCUUCCCUCCCGCUUGUCCUCCCUGCUCCCCCUUCCUGUCCCCUCCUACCCACCCUUCCCUUAAACCCAAGUGGGCUUGUAGCUGACUGGGGGGCGGGCACGUUAAACACAGCUAAAUAAAUCAUGUUUACGCUUGGCUUUCUCGGUAGUGAAAAAUCUGUUGGCCGUUUCUACUUCCUUAUUUCUCAGCAUUUGCUUCCUACCUGUUUUUGAGCACAUGCCCAGAAAUAGUAGUUUUGUCAAAUGAGGGGAUAAUGCCAGCCAGCCUUUCUUGCUGCCAAGGAAGCUGCUGGAUUUUGCAAAACAGAGUGACGUUUUUUUAGUGACACUGAUUUUUUUUUUUCCCCCAAAGAAAUUAGGAUGUAGAAUAAGGGUAUUAAAAUGCACUUAGGGAAGAGGGGGGGAAGCUACCUAGUCACCCCUGCCGCUCAAGGGCUUGUAGAGAGCAGGGAUAGAGAAGAAAGGUCUCCGUUCUGUGUGUACUUGACUGCUGGAGGCGGAGAGGCUGCUCUGGGCCCGGAGAGCUGAGUCAGGGUUCCUUUAUUUCAGCCCCAAGACUUCAUUUUCUGUGCCAUUUUGGUGAUGUUAUGCAAGGAUCCUUUUUUUUCCUGUUUGGUUUUGUAUCUGUUUAGUUUCUGAGGCCCCUGAGCAGUUCUUGCUGCAUUCUUCCUCUGAGGUUACCGUUGGGAAUUUCGCCCUGAUCUGGGAUGGGAGCUUGGUGGAGGGGGUGGAGAUCCUGGCUGCUCUGUCACUGUUUAUGCCUGAGAUCAGUGAUGACGGUGACCCCCCUUCCUCUGAGCUCCUUCCACGACAUUUUAGGGGGGGCAUCUAGAAAUCAUUUUUGUGAUGGGAUGCUGUUGGCGGGGCAGAGGACUUCCUGGGUAAUUACAGCCAAAUAUAGACUUGCAGAUUUAAAAAAAAUGUAUUUUUUUGAAAAACAAUUUCAAAAACAAGUAAGUGAAAAAUAAACACUGGGACUCCUGUCGCGAGGUGAGCUGUGCAGGCUUCUGUCUCAGGUCCAACCCUCAGCUCGGUUUCAAAGACAGCCAAGGGAAAAAAAAAUACAACAAAAUCAAAGUCGGCGGGCCAUGAUUUCCCCAAUUUCUAAUGGGAAUACUCUGCAAUAGAAAUGAUAUUUCCAUUGAGGACUGCGCUGCCGGUUUCUUUAAUUACAUUAAAUAGCGGUAUAAACCUCAGCAGAACGUAAACCCCUGUUACAGCCGCGUGGCGAGCGAGGCUGGAUUGAAUCGUAAGGAGCAAUGUUACAGUGUUAAUGUGCUAACAAUCUUUAUUAAAUUAAUCCCGCGAAGUGUUAAUUUUUACAAAUUUUGUUGUGCACACACUGCACGUCACCUCUGGUGUGUUAGGAGAUGAAAAUGGAUUUCACGUCAAAAAAUAAGUAAGAAGGAGCGGCUGUCAGGCUGUGCCCUUAGAAGGAAAUUUGUGAUUUUUUUUUUUUUUGCCGUCAAAUGCUACCGCACUGAAAAGAAGGCUCAUAAUAUGUAUAUUAAAUGCCAUCUACAUACAGAAAACUCAGUUAAAGGAACUACUUGGUUGAAAGUAAUUACAGGCCUGUACAAUUUUUUAGUCAGUGACAUUUCAGACUUGGCUUAGAAACAGAAAGAGACCAUAGAAAGAUUUUGUGCUUACGUGAUGCAGGGCGUCAGGGCCUCGGUGUUCUACGUGUCCAUUAGGAAAAGGUAAAAGGAAAUGAAAGGGGAAAAAAAAGACUCAAUCGUCAACAAAAUCCAGGGAGAGCUAGAUUUUUUUUUUUUUUUUAGGUGGUAGUGGAGAUCAGUUGCUUCUGACUAAUAAAUACAAGUAAGAACAACAUGUGCAUUUAGCCUAGCAGCUCCCUAUGUUUACAAUUUGGUUUCUUUUCUUUUUUUCCCCCAACUUUCUAUUGACCAAGUUCCUUUCUAUGCUAUCUAAAAACAAGAAGCCCCUCUGGCCUCUUCCUGCCCAGGUAGGAUUUUAUGGCCCCUCUUUUUAAAAGGGCCAGUGGCGCUUGCAUUCCUCAAGCCCAGGGCUGCUCUGCACCUGCGCCCUCAGCAGCCCUCUGCCCUGGCUGCCCGGGUCACUCGGCAGCCUCCUUGAGGGGCACUCUGUUUCCAUUACGUUCUUUUUAUUGGCUGUACUGUGAUAUUUUCAUUCUUAAUUCCCCGGGAUUCUCACAGACCCGACUUCCUUCCCCCUUCUAUUUAUUCUCUUGCCUCCUUCGUGCGGUGCUUGAGCUAAAGCCAGUAUUGGAGUUUGUGGGACCUUGGAACCACAAUGACUUCCGGAGCACACCCGUUCUAAGGCAUGUUUCAUGAAGGACCUGAUUCUUAACAGAGUCGGGCUCGUGUUUCCAUGUUAUUCCCAUCAGGCACAGUGGCUGCUGGUGGGAAAGCAAAAGGUGUUCCUCAGAUGAAAACUCACGGUUGGCAUCAAAUCUGAAGAUUCAUUUCCUGGUUUAUUUCCCUCGUGUGACAUGUGACUUCUGUCUUCACUGUGGAUUUUUCUUCUAGCUCUAAAUGAGGGAAACAUCUGAGAGAUGCCUGGCAAGUUUGUCAUUGGAGUCUGGUCUCUAAGCUCCAUUUGAGAAAGUGGUGUGGGGGCCUGACCUCAAGUCCCAAAUUCUUCAUCUUAGAAUGCAAAAGAUGCAGCCAGCGUUUAAGUUCAGUGUGUAGACUGCAUCUUCAUCCAGCCGUGCUUCUUGCAGAUACUUGUAGUACACCAUUGGUCACUCUGGACACAUGCGGAGGUAAAAUUCACGCAGGCUUUUGGAUGAGUUUUAUUUGAGGGAUUGAGGGUAGGAGCUGCUAAAGAUUGAAUGCAGCAGCUACUCAGCUUCUGACCAGAAGGCCUAAAUCAGGGGAAGAAGGGGAAAUUCCUCUGCUAGAUACUGGGUAGAUUCAGAGAACCUAUCCACCCCAGUUUUGUCCUUGGCCCCUACAGACUCCAGGUGAUGCCUGCAGACACUUCCCUAUGUCCAUGUUGCUGAUAUAGAUGUGUUUCUUGUGUGCACAUAUAUGUGUAAUCUCUCGGUAUACUAUAGAUGCGCAUGCACACAUUUUUCUAACUUGGCAAACACAUGGCCUCACCCUCUGUUGUCCCCGGGCCUACCAAUUCCAGGAUCUUGGGCCCAGGUUGGUGGACCCUGCCUGCCACGGCCACCCCAGAGGAGUCCUGUUCUUUUUUCCACGUGCAUCCUAAAGCGGUGCUACACAGGCCUCAGCAUGGUUGGAGUUUAUUUGCAUUCCAGCUGCUCAGAGAGUUCCAGGGGUUUCCCCUGAAGGAAAGGAGUCCAAGCUGCAAAUUUCCUCCCUGCAGAUUCCGGUUUAGGGGUUGGAAGGUGAGCCCCAAAUAGCUGGUCACCUCCUCUGCCUCACCCUGAGUGGUUGGUUCUGCGUAGAUGGUCUGGGGGCACCCUUCCUACCCAGCAACCCCUGGAAUUUCCUCUGCUCUCUCCCUUGGGGGGCUCUUUUGGAAGGGCCAUGGCGAUACAGCUUUACCAAUUCUUGGCUCAGGGUGCAGAAAGGGUCUCUGCUGCCCCAGAGGAUUUCAGCAGCUUGCAUCUUGAGGAAAUUGGGGUUGGCAGCCAUUAAAGCAGGUGCUUCUGGACCCGGGAAAGGGGCGUGGCAGAUUCUAAUUGCAAGAAGCAGCUGCCCUGGCUGAUGGUUCCUUUUCCAAACCCUGGCGGAAGGAAGAAAACAGGUUUUGGUAGUGUUUUGGGGGGCAUGGUCUGUCCUUUGCCUCUCCUGUCUCCUUCCUUGGAUGCACUAAAUGGGCAGCAUGUUGGGGAGAGGAAAUAGUUGAAGUGGUGAUUCACCACGACAGAUUUCAGCAGUGCUGGAGGAGGGAGGAGCUACGAGGAGGCAGCCUCGCUUCCUGUCCAAGAGACCUGCUUCUUGCCUCUUCUGGGUGGCCAGAUCUUCUCAUGGCAGGUGUGCACACAGGGCUGUGGAUGGUUGGUGGUGUCUCAGAGUGGUCAUUUGAGAAGUGGUGGGAGAGAUGGCCUCAAGUUAGAGUUGAACAGAUGUGUGUUCCUGGAGGCCAUGACCUGCUGCCCUGCACUGGCAGUGGCCCUCUCUGAGUCCAGCUGGGCUGACUGUGGAUGAAGUUCAUAGGGCUCUUUCACCUGCAUCCAAAUUCCCACCCUCCCCAGCCACCUGUAAGGGCUACUGUCCUUCCGCCUGUAGAGGCCAAUCGUGGGUUUGAACGGUGCUUUUUAUGUCUCCUGUGUGAUGACCCUGGAGGGAGGAGCUCUGUAAGCACAUCUGUGCAAACCCUUGUGAAACCUCACUUUUUUGAUGUCCUUCCAAAGGACAUGUCCACAUUCACCCCCGAAACCAUAAUCUCUGACAGCCUGGGACUGGAGACCUGGGCUGGCCACUGGGCACUCGGGCAAAACAGUCAUAUUUGACUUAGAAUGAGAAUCCAGUGGGGAGAGGUGGGACUUGGGGAGCCCUGGCUUCGUGGGUAGAAUUUCUAGGUCUCCCAAUUGCUGUGGGGCAGUGAGUGGGCCAUGCACAUGCCCACUUGCCCUCUGCUCCUGUCUUGGAGACCUACCUCAUGGAAUUGAGGUAUUCCUUCUAUGUUUGAUGAUGAUGAUGAUGAUGAUGAUGAUGAUGUUAUUUUUUACAAUGAAAUGAAAUCAAGUUCCAGUGUUUGCUGGUUCCUGCACUUUGGGGUAAUCCCACUUAAGAAGCAGAGAAAUUUACUUGGUUGUAUGCCCCCACCCCCAGACUCCUGUAGGUCUGAAAUUGAGCAACAAAGAAAGUUCCUUAGAAUUAUUCUCUAUUCCUGCUGUUUGGGCUCCUCUUCCACCCUCCAACCACCGCCCCCCCUCCUGCAAAGAAAGGGAGAAAGACAUAAUGAUGGGAAGGUCGGGUCUUGUCGGGUGAGACCCUGUGCCUGUCUCAUUUAAGGUGGCACUCCACUUCUUUCGAAUAGGAAAUUGCCAAAAUGGAUGUCAUCGGCUGCUAAUUAGAUGUAUUUUAACUGCAGGAUCAUUUUACCAGCUAAUACUGUUAUUAUGUGCUUCAGUGUGAACCCAUGGUGGAGCUGUUACAAUAUGAGCACGAGGCCUUAGCAGACAGCUAAUGGAGGCUGCAGGGUCUGUGGUGGCACUUCCCCUUGGUGAUGGCUAGUGACAGUCUAUUUUUGGACCUAAAGAUGCCUGGGUCAGGCCCUGUGCUGAAGGUCUGAGUCCUUUUAACCUCUCAAGAUGAGCCAGGCUUUACUGAUGUCCACUUUCUUUCUGUGCUUAGAGAAGGGCCUGAGUCUGAGGAGGCCCUGAGAUUCCAGAUUGUGGACACCAGCGGUCACACACAGCUCUGUAGACUUAACUGCCCUCCCCCCCUGCCCCCCCAGUCUUUGGGCUUCUGGACCUGGCUAGGGGCAACAAAUGACCACAGGUUAUGUCAUGGCUGUGCCAAUUUAGGCUGAGCCCCCGGAACACAGUACCAAAGUAGGCAGACCUGCCUCUCGACAUGGGUUACAAACUGAGCUGGUUUCACCUCCAUCUUUUCUCUCUAGCAAACCGGAAAAAGAAUCCUAAUUUCCCUUCGGGGUGGGAGGAGGCGGGCUAGGAUUGGGAUAAUGAUUCUUAAAUAUGAGCAGUGUAUUUGACUUCAUGUUAUUUCUCCCUCCCCCCUUAAUACACAGCAUUUUUAUCAUCUUUAAGACAAAGUAGCUGGCAAAAUAUUUAAGUGAUCAGGAAGAAAUGUUUUUAUUUGCCCGCGUGUGAAUUGGGUUAUCUGCCUAUCUUGUUUAUGAAAUUUGGGGCUGCCUUUCCAGCACAGUAUGUUCGCCUCUCAAAUCUUUCCCGGCUCCCAUUUCCAUAUUUCUGCGUGCUUGUUCUUUGUUAAUCACUUGGCAAGCGCUUAUUUGAAUAUUAAAAAUUUCUUUAAUCAUCAAAGGCAGGAGCACAGUCUCAUGAAUAUUCAUAUUUUCCCCCCUCCUCAGACUGGAUUCUAGUUCAUUACCCUGCAGUAAAAGCCAAACAGCCAUCAAUCGCCCUCAUUACAGGCUCUGGCGUUUUGAUUGGCUGCCUGCUGCCCAGAGCUUUUUUUUUUUUUUUUAAAUUUUCUCCUUCUCCUAUGAGCUGACUUGUACCUGCCAACAACCACACCAAAAAAAAAAAAAAAAAAAAAUCAACAAUGCAAGAAUAAAUUUUUCUGGUUGAAAAACAACUUUGCAAACUUAUCAUACAGUCCUGUGGCUUGUUGCCGCCUUAGCGGCCACCAGCGCCUCCACCCUUCCCCCUUACCCUCCCCACCCCCCCCAAAAAAAAACCUAGGGAAAAAAGGGGGAGGGAAGAGAGAGAAAAUUAAAUAAAUAAAUAAAAAGGGAGAAACUUGAGCCUCAGAGAUGAAUAUUUGUCAAGAGAGUUGACGUAAGUUUCAUUUGCAUAAUGACUUUGUACUUCUGCAUUAAUAAAAUUUGCAUAUGAAGCCAUGUUAAUUACUCCUGAUCAUGCUUUUUGCAUUCAUGCAUAGUAAUUUUCUCCGACUUGUGAGAAUUAAUGUCUUGGCAUGGGGGGAGGGGGCGCGGGGACUGUCAGGUUCCCUUGCCAGUGUCCCUCGCUCACAUGCCUGGCUCCCUGUCUGUCUCCUUUGCUGAUCUAUGACUCAUUUCUGCACUAUCAGUAGGAGUUCUCGCCUUAAAAAACUGUAUCCGUUGAAAGGCACCAGUAGGGAGAAAAAUAGACCUCUCCCGCGCAGUGUAUUCCGGGCCACCUCUCUGGCUGGGGACGCGGCAUCUGCAGUCCUGCCAUCCCGGAGCGGCUGCUGCCACGGGACGCGGCGCUGGGCCGGGCUGGCUCCCCUCUCGCCGGGGUGGGGCGUUUCCAGGCGUUUUGUGUCUGCACGCUCAAGGUGGGCGUGUCGCCGCUAGUGCGCAUGUGUGAGGCUUGGAGCGGAGCAUCUGCAGGGCCCCGGGAGGGAGGAGGGCUGCAGACCCCUCGGAAUGCUUCGGGCCGGGAAGGCAUUGAAAUGAGCUCGCGCCCGAUGAUGCUGGAGCUUCGGAAGCAUUUUAGGGAGACUUUUUGGGUUAUCUUUUUGUACCAGAUACAGAGAGCCGGGUGGCAGUUUCUGGCCUUCCUAAGCCCAGUGCGUCUGGGCGCCUUCUUCAGUCUUUCCCAGCCUCAGUUUCCUCUUUUGUGAGAGUGGGAUAUGCUACCCCAUAGGAAGGCUCUGGGCUUGCUUGAGAUAACUCAGGUAUUAAUCGUUUAUUUAUUUUUCCUUAAUUAAAGUGAACUUCCAUGAUUUAAAAAUAAAUCAAGCCAGCCACGAUUUUAUUUAUAAGCCCCCUGGAUCCAACUUAAAACUGAGAUGGUGGCUUGGCAUCCCUAGGUGCAUGGAGGUCUGCUCAGAUUCCAAACGGGACCCAUGGACUGCAAAAGAAAUCAUUUUACAUUUUUAUUUACUCUCGUAAAGCUGGGGAUGGACUCCAGGGCUUCCAGGUUGCUGGGCAGGCCCACUAUCCCUGAGCCACACCUCCAGCCCCUGAAGGCUUUCUUUUUAAAACAGUGACUUGCAGGUCUUUGUAGGCUCCCUCCACCAGGCAGCUCCAGUGCUGUGAGAAACACCCUUGGGAGUAGGGAAAGUUCCAAAAUGGAAAACUAGAAAGGGAUCUGAUCAUUUAGUGGUCACUAAGACGGUGACUAAGUUUACCAGAUGUUUAAUUUUGGUUCAUGUUGUCCUGACCCUUUCAAAAUGAGGAAGCUGAGGCUCUGAGAAAGUGAUCACCUUAGGUCACGUGGCCAGGGGAUGGCAGAGGAAGGAUGUGAACCCAGGCUCUCUCCUGGCCCACCCCCCAGGCCGCUGCGCUGAGGUGCUCUUUACCCACAACUCCAGAUUUCCUGGCUGCACUUUUAAAGGCAAACACUCCUCCCUGUGGAAGGGCAGGGCUGGGAGGUGGCCUGGGACAGGUAUUGAGGCCUAGAGACAAUGGCCUCACCUUUGAUUUUUUUUUUUUUUUAAGAUUCUCUAAAUGUAGAAUUCACCAUUUUGUCUGUCAGUGGUUUUGAUUAUAUUUACAGUGUGUGCAGCCGUUACCACUGUCUGAUUGCAGAUAAUCUAAUUUAUACUCCUACACAGAAACCCUGCACCCAUUAGCUCCCAGCCCCCGGCAACCUGGACCUUCCGUCUCCAUUCAUUUGCCUGUUCUGGAUGUUUCCUAUCCAUGGAAUCAUAUGAUGGAUGGUUUCUUGCAUCACUUAACUUGUGCUGUAGCUGCAGAGGGGGCUUCUUGAAUCCCACCUUUGGGGAGAGUUGCAGUCUAAGCUGCCCCCAGGGACAUCCUCCUGCAUGGCAGAGGGUAGCCUAAGAGUCCCAGAGGCCCUCACUCUGCAGCCCGCUCUUUUGCUUCUUCUGAGCCACUCCUGAAGCAGGGGACUUCAGUGUGGUCAGCAUUCCUAAGGAGGCCCUGGGGUGCAGCCCCAACCCCGUGCAGAGCAUUGUGUUAUGGUAUGUGACCUGCGCUGACAGACUCUGGUCUAGCCCACUGCUGCCCUUUGCUUCCUUCUCCUUGGCUCUUCUGCUCGUCAGGGGAAUGGAGUCAGGUGGGUGUUAUCUGGGACAGCUGACUCCCAGGCUGCGAGGUGCUGCACAGCUGGGGUCAGUGCUGCUGGCUGUGUUGCCGUCUUGCCCAGAGCCCAGGAGCCAGAGUCUGGACUUGGCUCUUUACAGCUAUUGAUGGCUGGAUUGAGGUCAAGGACUCUUAGGCUUCCCUUCCCUUCCCUUGCUCUCAGGAUACCAGGUGUCCUGGUCCCUCCAUCCCAACUGCAGCCAGAGAGGGAAACAGAAGAUAUAGCUGGACUCAUGGUCCAGAGCUCCCCAAGCCUCAGGCCCCACGUAUUCCCACUUGCUGAACAGGUGGUUAGGGUAUACUCAGCACAAAGCCACUGUCAGGGCCACAGAGGGUCCAGAGCCCACCAUGGUCUGAGGGAGGUUCCAUGUAGGACUUAGAGGCCUGUAGUAGACAGGGUCAGAUGUACAAUGUCCAGUUCCAGGCUGGGGGUUCAGGCAAGAGCUGUCCAGGGCAGACUUUCGCAAGGAGGCAGGUGACACUGGCCUCAGAUGCAGACCUUUUUUGGUGCCUACACUAAAUCUGGGGCUUGACCUUCCUGUCAGCCUCUGGGGUUGGAACUGCUCAGGGGUUCCUUGGCCACGCCCUUCUGGGGCUGUGGCCAGUUCUGAGACAGCCGGGUGCUUGGGCUAGCCUAGUGCAAAGUCUUCAUGGGCCUGGGCAGUGUUGGCACUAGCUUUGUUUGUGGCCUCUUGGCAGGACAUAUUCAGAGUUCCCAAGCUUCAAGCUGGGGUUCUUCUCACAUGCCACGAAGACCCUUAUCCUGGAUUCACAUUUUAGACAAACAGAGCAUGUCAAAAAAGCGCUCUGGUUUUAGAGCCAGGCAGCAGGGUUUGAUGGGGUCAGUUGCUGGGAUCUGCAGCUUUCUGAGUCAUGGCCUCAGUUUCCUGGUCUGUGCAAUGGGUGUCCUAGGUCCAUGCCCACUGUGGCAUAUUAGGAGGCUCAGUCACAUGAAGACAGACAGGUUCCUGGUUUGCAGUCGGUGGCUGAGCCCAGUGGCUCUUCCUGGGAUGGGGGAGUCACACAUGGUGGCUGUGGAGUGGGCCAAUUCCCCUCAUGCAGACCUGUGCUGGGAGGUGAGGUGCUGUAGCCUCUCUGGCGAGCCGACUGGGCUCAGCUGCCCAUCAUCUCGUUGAUGUUUUCUUUUUGUCUCUCUGAUGCUUCCCUGCUCAAUUAUUUACCCAGGGAAUUUGGGCUUCUUCACUUGUGGUUUUGGCAAGGGCUUCACACAAAUGUUUUGCCCUGGUGGUCUCUUAGCCAUGUAAGAUAAACGGCCAAAUCAAACGCAGGCCUUGCCGGCAGCCCAGGCGAGCUGUAGGGCUGGGCGGAGGCGAGGCGGGCCCUGGCCGGGCCCUCCGAGUUGCUGUCAGACACUGGGGGUGGCGAGUGGGGGAAGCAGGGACUCCCAAGCCCGGGCUGAGACAUGAAGAGGGGUCUGGGCUGUGCCAGGUUUUCCUGAGGGUGGAGGGAGGAGGGAAUCGAAGCAACCCGGGCUUGGGUGCUGCUUGCGGGGGACUGGAGAGAGGCCUCAGCUAGUAGUUAGCUAGGCAGCUCGCUCCCCAGUGCCCAGCCCCUUCGAGGUGGACUUGAGGAGCCCAGGCCUGUCCUAAGAGCCCAUCGCGGUGUCAGACGGUGGCGGCUCCGGGCUUCCCAGUUCUUCCCGGGGUAGCCCAGAUUUGGGGGAAGAAAUCCCCAAUAGGAGCCUGCUCCAGUUUGCUACAGAAGACCCUUCCUGGAAGGGUCUUUCCUGGGAGUGGGGCCCUGACAGUCCCUAUGUGCCUUAGCCCCCUACACAAGGCCCCCAGAAGUGGGGUGUCAGUCCCUAGACCUGGCAGCUGUGGAUACAGGACUCUCUCCAGUGCCCCCUGCCCACUUCCCUGACCCCCUCUCCCCUCCCUGUGCCCUGGUCACCCUCCCUGCAGGGCCUGGCACCCCUGGGGCCUCCGGCCCUUGAAGGCUGGCUGCAGCCCUGCACCCCGGGCCCCCUCCCAUGCCCUAAGCCCCUUGUGCAGUCCAGGGCCCGACUGACCGGUCUUUUCUAUUGUUUUUUCUCCAGGGCCGUGCAGGCCUGCCCAGCUGCCAGCGAUGGCCCCCAUAGCUGCCUCCUCCCACCCUCACACAUCCGUGAUCACUCCACCUCUGCGCGCCCUGGGCGCUCUCCCGCCCUGCUUCCCGCUGCCCUGCUGCAGCGCACGCCCGGUCUCGGGCGACGGGACUCAGGGUGAGGGUCAGACGGAGGCUCCCUUUGGAUGCCAGUGUCAGUUGUCAGGUAACGAGGCCGCCGCGAUGGGGGGGUGGGCUCCCGGGGAUGGCGGGGUGUGCCCGGGCAGAGCAGGGGACCUAAGGUGGGACCCAGGGAGGAAGAGCAACCCUCACCCAAAAGGCAUUUUUGGGGUGCUCUGGGAAGCGGUGAAGGAUGUCCACAGAACUGUAAACCCGUGACUGGUCCCCAUGGGUCAGGAGGUCCCUCCACCCCUGUUCCCCCCACUCCCAGAAUGCAUUGCCCAGCCUCCAAAUUUCAUCUCUUUGGGCUGUUUAGCUAAAGCUUAAUUGGAUAACGCUUAACAUCUGAGGUUUUCUUCUGCCCCUGCCUCUGCUCCCCCGCCCCCCUGCCGCCCUGACGAGGCCGGGAGAUUCCUUGGUUGUCUGUGUGCAUCGCCGGAGCCAUCUGAAAUGCUGAAUUUCUCUUUGGGACAAUGUGUUGCCCAUUAACUUAGAGGGAAAAAAAAAGUUGCUCAAAAGGAGCCUUUUAAAAAUCUGUGGCCACGGGAGGGAGUGAAACAUUCUGGGGGCGGGUGUGGGCAGGGACAGGGGCCUGGCUCUGGGCGGACCUCAGACCUUCACAUCUGUGCUUGCCCCCGCUCCCCCUGCUCCCCUGGGAGGCCAUGUGGCUGCCCAUAACGCAGACGGGCAGGCAGGGCAGCAAGGCGACGCUCGGCCUCCGCCUCCUCCCCACUCUCUCCCCAAAGAGAACCCAAAGUCCUGUGGCCUGGGUUCCCCAGAAGCUCGCGGGCGGAGGGCGCUCACUGCAGCUCUAGCAGGCCUGGUGUGCAGUGCGCGAUAGCUGCGUGAGCCAGGAUGCUGACACAGACUCACGUGGCCAUGGCUGUGGCCUGGUUUCCGUGGCAGGGGCUGGAAAGGAGAGGGUGGCUGCAGAGCUGGGGCAGAUUCAAUUUGUUCCUGCCCCGUCACCAGGCACACUGCAGGCUUUCUCUUGACUCAAGAUGUCAAAGGAAGACUUUGUAUUGAGCAGGUUUUGCUUUUCAUUGAUGCUGUCCCAAGGGACAGUCCUUGGUGGAGCAUGAACUUUGCAAAUGGCCCCUGCUAGCCUCUGCUCCAGGGCAGGAACUCCUGGCCUUCCUGCUGGUGGGGUGGCCCGCAGCCUUCAGUGCCACCCUGCUGUGACGGGUGAUGACAUCAUAGGAUCUGGCUUCCAGGGGGAAGUUCUGGUUUUUUAUUGGGCUUGUGCCUUAAAUGCUCAAAGAUCAGAAUCACCCGGGAAGGAGUUGGAACUACUUGUAAAGAAGCUGGCUGCCUGUCUGGGGCUGCUUGUUCCCCAGGGUGGUUGGGGCUCCUGUACUGGCUUGGUUGUCGAUUGCUCUGUGAGUCUGGGGAGGACCUUUUGGCCCAGCAAGGGUUGUCUGCUCUGUCUGGGUGGCUGCCCCACUCUCAUGGCUUCCUGUAAUUAGUGCAGCAGCCCUGCAGCCCUGCAGCCACUGGGGGGGCCACGCUAUCAAAGAUCAGCUUGAGUGUUUACGACUGGACUCGGUCAAGUUCUGCAUGUAGAAACACGAUCUCCUCGCCAGAGGCGCACCCGAGUUUGCUUAACCCUCUGUUGGCUCCGGCCCUCCUUAGAAGCUGCCAGAGUGGAGGAGAGUUAGCCACGGGACCGGGCACCUCCCUGACAGGGUGGGCUCUCCUGGCAGCUUUGUGGAGUGCCAGGCAGGAGCCACUGCAGUCCAGUUGUGCAGAUGGGGGUGGAGGUGGGGGCAAAGUCUGGGAGGGCAUGUGGCUGGGCCAAGGCUGCAGGACUGGGAUUUGUCUCUGGGAGGCCUCCUGAGCAGGCCACCUCUCUUCCCAGGGAGCCACACUGCCUCUGCCUCUGUGCAGUGGAGGAUGAGCAAGGUUUGCCCGGCCUGACUCCCUGUGAACUCUGCCAUCAUCUGUCCCCACAUACUCUACUGGGCUCCUGAUAAGGGCCAUGCCUAGCGUGGGCACUGCCUGACACCAGACAUUUGCGUGCGUUCUUGAACGCAGUCCUCACAGCAGGCUCACACUUUACUCCCCCACUUUAUGGAUGAGCCUUGGAGACGUGGUGGUCUCACGGCUCACAUGCACCCGCUCAUUCUUCAGCCAAAAGCCAUCUCUUGGGCACCUGCUUUUAGGCACCCUGCAAAUAGAGUGUGGGCUCCUGCCCGCCUGCAGCUUGUAUUCUGCUGCGGGGAAGAAGGUAUGGGGUGAGAACCUGAAGUAAGAGUGGUGGGAAGGUGGGAGAGCAGGCAGCGAGGAAGUCGCCCCUGUCCAGCACCCGCCUCGUCAGUGGCCUGGGCGCAUCUCUGGAUUUUAGGGCUUCAGAAGUUCCAGGGCUCUGGCCUGUGAGCAAUGCCAUGCUUGGGGAGAAGAGUGGGCAAGGGUGAGGCACUGUUCCUGGGGUUGGGACCACAGUGGUCAGCUCCUGGGCGUUUCGGGAGCCACCCCUGAGGGGCCUGCUCUAGCUUCCCACCCUCUGCUCCACACUCUAUGCUUUUCUCGUUCUUCUUUUGGUCUCUGCUUAUUAGCCUGCACCAGAGUGGACUGUCAUAUUAGCCUGCACCAGAGUGGACUGUCGUCAUAUUAGCCUGCACCAGAGUGGACUGUCAUAUUAGCCUGCACCAGAGUGGACUGUCAUAUUAGCCUGCACCAGAGAGGACUGUCAUAUUUGCUGAUCAAUUUCAAUACCUGAAAAUAUCCCAUUCCAGUGGUUCUUGUCCCUUUGUGGUUUCUGUCCCUGUGACUGGGCUGUUGAAGUGUUUUUAGUGCCUGUUUAAUUAGUAGCUGGAAGGGAGUCGUUCAAUUCCCAGUAACGGUUAGGAGGAAGCAGUCCGCUGUACCAAUGGAGCGGGGCUGCCGUUCUCACUUUGUUUUGUCCCUUUUUGGAUGAGGAUGCGUUGAACCCAUCUCUUGAAAUCAAUAGGGCAAGCCCCUGUGCAAAUGUGUCGUACACAGGUUAACUGUGUGCUGUAAAUGCACUCUCGGUUAUUUAUAGAAGGUGUGAGUCUGUGGGGGGAAGCGUACAGGUGUGGUUCACCUCCAUCCCAGUGUCCCAGAAGCUCUGUCCCCCACUCUGGGCCUCCUACGGUGGUCGCAGUGGGAAGCAGGGACUCUGGGCCUGUUUCCUGUGGACUCUGCUGUUGUAAUGUGGGGCUCUGAGCUGAGGCCCUGCUGGGGCUCAAAAACCUUCCCUGAGAAAUUCCAAGUGAAGGCUGCGGGGCACCUGUGGUCCUGUCUGGUCAGUGGACUUGAAGAUGUCAUUGCUCCUCUUUGAGCCUUGUUUUUUUUUUAAAUACCCCCCCCCCCACACACAUAUAUACAUUCACAUAGACAUUUUCAUGUUGUUCUCUGAAGCAGAUCACUGGGGGCUGCAUGGGGCUUGGUGGGGGUUCCACGAUGGAUAUGGGGGCAGAGGGUGGGAAGUAAGAGCAAGCCCCUCAGAAAUGGCUCCUGGAAAGGUCCAGGGGGACUGACCACUAUAGUCUCCUCCCCAGGACUCAGGAGGCCACUGAAGAUUGCUGGGCUUCCCCUUCCCCCCAGCACUUCUCUGUUCUGAGGUUUCUGUGAUUGGAAGGUGGUCAUCAGAGCGUAUCAGAUUUCUGGGGGGUGCAGUGUGAACUGGGUGGCCUCAGAUGGGCCAUGGUCCUUCUCCUUUCCUCCAUUUCCCCAUCUGUGAAUUGGGGGUAAUAUUAGCUCCUGGGGUUGAUCCUAGGAUUGCCUGGGGUCACAUAGGCCAGGUGCUGAGUGUGAGAACAGUGCCUUGUGCUGAGCGGACCCACAGGAGCAGAAGGGCUUCCUACUUGGCAGUGCUGGGUGCCUGGCACUGUGCGGAGGUCCUCUCAAGCUGCGUGCCUGGCAUCACACUUAAAGGUAUUGAGCGCCUUGGCUGCCGCAGAUCAUGCACCAGCAUUAGGAGGCGAAAAAGGAACGCAGACACUUCAUUGCAUAUUUAAAGGCUGCAAAUGGUCAUCAGCCACAGUGAUUAAUACAUGCGCUUGGAGAAGUUCAAGGUCUCAUGCAAGAACACACAGGAUCCCGGCUCGGGGAAGUGGAAGUGUUUGGAUUUAAUAGAGGGAGUCAGUUGCAGUCAUUAGUAUAUGCUGAAAUCACAGGGCAAUCUUGUAAAGUUAAAUUCAAUUUACUUUUCUACUGAAAUUGUGCUUGCUGUGUUAUUUAACUAGUCUGGGGUUUCUUGGCAUGGGUUAAAGGGACAAUAAAGAUAAAAGAAUACCUGUAAGUAAAUAGUAGGGUUGAACAGUAGAAUCUAUCGUUUUCUCCUCCUUCAAUUAUAUCCCAGCGUUCCUUCUGUGUCGGUUUUAUAACCGGAGCCGUCCAAUGGGAGGCCGUGGAUUAGACCACCCUCGCUGCAAAGGCCUGAUGCAAUUAAUACAGUCUGUCUGGAAAGUGGCCUUAUUUCUGGAAGUUUUAUGUUAAUGAUAUGGUCUGCGCUUUGCACAUUUCAUACCAGAACAAGAAGCAAGCUGGAGUUGCUUUCUGAACUGGGUUUGAUUAACAGCGGAGGAUCCAUGUGCAACCCAGCAGCGAUGCGGACAGACGGCCACCUCCCCGAGCCCCCGCUGAUGCUCAGCAGGGCUGCAGUGGGCACUAGGGUCUCCUUUGGGACUCUGGAGGGAGGGGUGAGUACGGCGUGAAGAAGAGAAGGGAGGCUGUGGACGGACCUCUUUCCGGUUGGUGCCCUGGGACUGGCUCCCUUGCACAGUAGCCGUCUUUAGGGUCGUCCAGGUCCCAGGGUCAGUGGGGUUGGCUUCUGGUAGAUAAAGCGCUCUCCGGGAGUUUUACAGAUUCAGAGUCAUCUGCACGCCUACGUUGCCCAAGGGGCCGCCGCUCCCAGCACUCAGGAUCCAGCAUUCACCGCGUCCCCGAGAGUCCUUCCUGCCAGUUCCUGGAUUCCGCGCUGGCGUGUGUCCUCUUGGGAUGCUCUGCUGAGAGGUCUUCCUCCACCGCCUGCCUGGCAACCAGGCGCCACCCUCGGCCACUGGAGGAAGUGCCUGGAGCGCCACGGAGAACUGUAGGAAGCCCAUUCUCCGGGGCCUUGUAGGUGGCCGAGAGUGACAAGGGGCUUUAGUGGACUCCUGAAAAGUCCCCCGUCCAGUGUAGCUGGAAAAUCACGUCUCCAGGGGCCAAAGGGGCCAGGAGUGGGACCAGCCGAAGGACUCCUACAGGGGUGACCAUCCUUAGAUAAAAGGUCCUAGCCACGCCCGGAGGAGACCCACUGUCGCAGCCUGACACAGACCGUCUCAGUCCCCGCGCCGGCCCUUACGAUGUUCUGCAGGCAGAGCUAAAUCAAAGAAUUCUGUUCAAAUCCAUACAAGAUGUUGCUGUUUUUCUGCUCUGACGGGAGAGGCAUUUGGAAGUGCAGUUUCUUUCUAUCUUUCUUCCUGUUUUUUUUAUAGCUGUCUUAAAAAGGAGUUUGGCUGUUUAGCACAGCUGGUGCUCAUUACAUUAUGCACUGGCAAUAAAAUAGCAUGUGUAAUUAAUUUUUAAUGCAGCGCUGGAUGCAGUGCUUUCAAGCACUUAGUGGAUGUGAAGAAGCAGCACUGGCCCGACACGAGAGACCUCGGAGCAAGGCGGCCGCUGCUCCCUUGCAGGGGAUUUGAAAGUGGUGGAGGAGCCUGGGCGCUGCUCUCCAUGUGUAGCUGACUGGCCAGAAGUGGCUUUGCCCUGGGUGACCCGAGGCUGCAGUCUUCAACCAUCCCACAUCAGGCGAGGUCGCCUCAUGCAGGCCCGUCAUUGGAUAGAUGGGGGAAGCUGAGGCACACAGGGGGACACAUGCCACAAGAUGUGGGUGGUCAGGCUGACUCAGACCUAGGUCGCUCAGGCGCCACCCACCAGGCCACACUGCCUCUUUUGAGUUCACAUUGAAAACCACAAAGGACAUCUGUCACUAGGGGAAGCUGUGGAAAAACUCCUCCCUACCUUCUCACCGCGAGGCUCCGUGUGAAGCCUGCAACUGGACGUGGCAGGUGGACAUGUUACAGUGAGGAGCCCCAUGUGUGGCCCCUGGGGCUCAGCUUUGCUGUCUGACGUGGGAAGGUCCUCUCUGCGUCCUGUGUGUGUGCCUUGGUUGCUGGCUGCCAUGUCCUCAGGGCUCUGUGGCAUGGGUGUCAUGCCAGGGUUGUCAUGCACCUGUGUUAGGGGGAGCGCUCCAGGGAGUGGGAAGCUCCAGAGGUGGGCCCGUCCUUGGUCUCGGUUCUCAGAGUGAUUGGGGGUGAGUGUGGGACGCGAGCCAGCCACUUGCUGUCUCUAAGCCCCAGUUUUCUCACCUGCAGAACGGGGACACCCGAAGUAUCUGCACGUCAUCCCUGUGUUUGUGGCCUCAGCUGUUGCCAGGGUGAAGGAGCGGGAGAGGGCAAGCAGUGUUGAGAAGCAGGGCCAUACUGUGACCUCGGGGACCUGCCCCCAAUGACAAGUCUGCCAACCGAGUCCCUUGCCUGCACUUUCUUAGUAGGGGAGGAAGGACCACUAUUAUCUGUAUUCCUAGGGCUUGCUGCUGUUUCCUAAAGAACCUACUAUGUGUCCUUAUUGCCUGGACACCGUAUCCCGUUCUCAUCUUGCCCCAAGAAGAGAGAGCCCCCUACUUUGCCCAGGAGGACACUGGGCUCAGAGAGGCCAAACAACCUACUUGAGGUCACAGAGCACACAAAGGGUAGAACCGAGAUUCCAACUCAGGUCAGCUUUGCCUCAGUGUGCUCCUGGCUGUCCCUUCCCACUUCCUGGGGGCUGCAUUGGCCACUUGGACAUGGACAAUAGAGAUGGAACUGGCCAGCGGGAAACCAGAUCACAUGAGAACAUCCUGGGUGGACCCAAGGUUCCUUCAUUUCGCUGGUCGUGCCUGUGCCUGACCCCUGGCUAGAAGUGGGGGAUGCAGAAGUGAGAGAGGGGGGGGUCUUUGCCAGGCCCUUGCCCUGGAGGGGCCCACAGUGGGGAGAGCACCUCUCUGGAGCCUUGUUGUGCCAUGAUGUGAGACACGUGCUCCCUGGUGCCUUUCUGUAUCUAAAAAGAAUAAACAAAUGGACGAAGUUCAUGGGAGGGAGUGGGGAGGGCCCCAGGAGACAGCUGUGUUUUACUCCUCUGGAAGGUGAGCUGGGUCAGGGAGAGUGUGGUCAGUGACAGACGCCUGGUCCAGGAUGUCUUACUGGAAGGCUCCCUCUGGCCCAAGUCACCUCCAUCUCUGCCUGGCUGGACUUAUGGGGAAACAGAGUCACGGACCCUGAGACCACCAGGAGGAACUUUGGACUCAGAGUGAAGCCUGGGACUGCACGAGGUUUUCCUAUCAAAGUGCCCUCAAAGUGGGUUUCUGGGAUUGGAGUGGGAGUCAGGGCCUUGGCCACAGGUCCUACCAGCCUGCAUGGGCUGGCUCAGCACCCUUCCUCCAGGGUGCAUUGGGGCCGGGGCCUGUGGGUGCCUGGGCUGUACUGAUGGUGUCCAGGGAGACCCUGCAAAGGGUGUGUCUGCAUCUGUGAGAGAAAGAAAGGCCCUCAGCGCCAUUCUCUACAGAGAACCCACCUCCCUGUCGCCGUAGAAUCAACUUCUCUGCACCUGAGAGGAGCCAGGUUUAUGUCCUGAAGAAGCUUGAGGUGUUCUUUGCGUGUUUUUGGUGAGGGGAACAGUAUGUCCUUGACUUUGCAAACCCCGAGGGCAGGGUAGGGGUGGAGGGGCUGUGUGCUGUACACAUUUCACAAUCCAAUCCAAAUAGUCUUAACCAUGAAAUAGAGUUCAUCCAAACAUAAUCAAGGUAGGCCAAUGUCCUCCACAAAGCAGCAGGAAGAAACCAUGGUGGGCAGGGGCCCCUCUGUGAGGGGGCUCCGAAGACCCCAUUAGGCCUCAGGAGGAUCAUGGCCUGACCCUCACCGCGGCCACCUAUGUGGACUUUAUUUAAUAAUGGCUGAGAAUGGGUGGCGGUGACCUCAGUGUGUGGUCAGAGGCAGGUGAAGCAUCAGCCUUGAUUUUCUUUCCCAUCUAGGUCCUUCUUGCACUUGGCAAUGGGGCUACCAGGUUGUAGCCAGGCCAUUUCUACAAGCCCACUCUGUGCCGAGCCCUGGGCAGCGGCCUUCUGAGCUCUGAACCUAGGUGUCCUCUUUUCGGGGGCAGCCUCUUCUGUACUCCACAGGUGAGGAGGCUGAUGUCCCCAGGUGUCCCUGCUUGCUCGGUAAAGUGCAGCUGGUAGGCAGCAGAGCUGGGGUUGCCGCCCAGGGCACUUUGGGCCUGGGGCCUGCUGCCCCUCCCGCUGGACUUCACCUGGCAGGUAUGAGUCGGGGCGGCCGAGGCAGAGGUUUGAGCCAGUGAGUCAUGGAGCUGCCAAGGGCCAGCCGGCCGCACCCUAGGUAGUACGAACGCCUGCGUUUUAUGGCUUCAACAGAGGGUCAGAGGACACGGGACUUCUCCACAGAGGUUAAGGCAAAAACGGAGUCGCUCUCUGCAGGAACAGGGGCAGUUGGAAUCUUUCCAUAAACUGGACAUUUUAAAUUAUUGCCUUUGUUAAUAAGAGGUGAGGGAUGACUGGCAGGCGAGGUCUGCCCCUCCCUACCUCCCGGGGUACCUCUCUGCUCUGGGUGCUGUGUUUAGCCAGUUCUUUCUGACUCCGGUUGUUUUGCUCUGAAUUUCUCCUGUGUUAUUAACCAGCUCAUCGACUCUCGAUUUACCCAUGAACGAAACCAGUGAUGGAGGACCCACUAUGUGCCAUAGGCUAGAUGGGCGGUAUCUCCCUUGAGUCUGAUACUAGCAUAGCAUUGUGGGAUUGGGGCUUUUUAAAAUAUACAGAGGACUUACAGUUCUAACCAUCUUAAGGGUGCAGUUGAGUGGCCUUAGGUACACUGCAGUUGUUACCCAACUGUCACUACCAUCCUUCCCAAACAGAACUCUGUCCCCCUUAAGCUGCAGCUCUGCCCUUGCAUCUUCCAUGUUACUUCCUGUUUCUAUGAAAGUGACUGCUCCAGGGACCUCACAAAAGUGGAAUCACAUGGCCUUUGUCCUUAUGUGGCUGGCUCAUUGCACCCACCAUCAUGUCCUCAAGGGUCAGCCACGUGGCAGCAGGUGACAGGAUUUCCUUCCUAUGUAAGGCUGAAUCCUGUCCCUGGGCAGAUGGACCAUGUUUUCUCCUCUAUUCGCCCAUCAGGGAGCGCUCGGGCCACCGCUGCUUCUUGAGUACAGUGGACGAUGCUCCUCUGGGUGUCCGAAUGUCUCUCUGAGGCCCCACUUUUAGGAUCUUUUGGGCUAAUCUUCAUCAUUAUGAUUGCUGGAUCAUAUGGGGAUGGGUUUUCCUUUUUGAGGACUAGUCAAACUGUUCCCACAAUGGCUGUGCCAUUUUACACCCCCACCCCAUAGUGCACAGGGUUCUGGUUGCUGGACUUUAGCCCUGAGGACACUGUCUCUCAAGGCUGUGGGCAACAGCUGGACCAAGCUUCGUGGUAAUAAGCCUGAAAGUGUGGACUGGCACCCGGGCCCCUCUGGCCCGGACUUGGCGCCUGCAGCUGCUGCCUCCUUCACUGUUUUGAGUGUAGCACCCCAGUUUCACGUACUGUUCCCCAUGACAGCCUUGUCUCCCAGGACAAGGUUUUAGCAGUCAGCUAAACCUUUACCUAACUUGAGAGUUUGGGGAAGAAAAUUCUACGAAUGGGCAAGUUCCCUUCUGCCUGGUCCUCAGGGCAAGGAUCUGACAGAGUGGCUUAGCAGAGAGAGAGCCCUGUAUUUAGAAGCAGUGCCCCUGGGGGCUGGGAAGGCUCUCCAGGUGUCCCAAGGCACGCUCUGCCCCUCUUUGAGCCUCCUGGGAGGGGGUCCCUGUCUCAGUGGAAUCCUCCUGCUGGCCUCGCUUUCCUGGCUAUGAGCGAGGACUGGAGAGUGGAGUUCCGGGUGUGGCCCUGGGUCCUUCGUAGAUGGGAGAAGGUAGUUGUGAGGCUGAUGAUUUGGGCUGUGAUUUCUGUCUCCCUCCAUGAGGGGCCCAGGCAGUGGCCUGCCUGUAGCAAAUGAACACAAACCAGGUGGCUUUUACCUACAAAAUCUGUUCUCUUACAGUAGAGGAGCCGCAGGUUCAAGAUCAAAGUGUUGGCCCACUUCAGAGUUCCUGGGAGGGUCCUUCUGGCUUCGUCCAGCAUCUGGUGGCUGCAGGUGUCCUUGGCUGGUGUCCACAAUGCCCCAUCCCUGCCUCCGUGGUCACCUGGCACCCUCUGCAGGGUUGUCUUCUCUUCUGGACGAUGAAGUGAACGGGGACCCCCUAGAUCAUCCAGGGGGAUUUAAUCUUUAGCCUAAUUAGAGCUGCAAAGGCCCCUUUUCCAGCAAGCUCAGAUCACAGGUCCCCUGAUCAGGUGUGCACAUAUCAUUUCAGGGGCCACCAAUCAGCCCUGUACGUGCCCUUGCUGGCUCAUAGGCCCCGCAGGCCAGGAACCCCAGUUUGGUCUCCUCUGGAACUCCUACAGCCUGGGACAGGUUCAGGAUUGGGACAGGUUCAGGUACCCCCCAGAUGUCUCCUGCAUGGAACCCAGAAUCGGUCUCUGACGAGGUGGCCACAUGUGCCUUUUUUGCUCAGGAACUUAGUGAUUCUCAGAUACCUGGCACCUCUGGCCAGCCCUCAAGCGCCAUAGUCACAGAAGGCUGUGUGGUCACAUCUGGCCCCCCCAGCCCUGUCCCUGUGCCAAGUGGGAGUGCAGUUACAAACAAGAGGGGGAUGGUUUAAAAAAAUGAUUGUUAUGAGAAAAAUUAACAGAGUUGAAUAGAAGCUAAAAAUAGCUAGACCCAUACUUGCCUAUAAUCUAUUUUUUUUUUUUUAAAGAAAACACAAUUAUUUUUGUAAACCAGUUCUGAGAAGCCGGGGAUAUUUAUAGCCUGCAUCUUCUAAGACGUUCGUUGUGCCUCAUCUCAGGAAGAGCAGCCUGGAACCCACCGGUGUGUGGUGAUGUCACCAUGUUGGGUGACAGAGCUCGCCCGAGGCCUGCAGAGUAGGAGUGGCUAGUAGCAGGGCCCAAGGUUAGGGAGCCCAGUCUUUGGUCCCAGUCUGCCGAGUGUCUGUGUGAUGAGACCAUUCAUGAGUGGCCUGACUGUGGCCUUCGUGGAUGCUGGUGGCCUGGGAUGUCCUGGCCAUGCCUGGGCAGGUAGCUGGUAACGUCGGAGAGUGGCAGCAGGCUCAUCUCUGGGCAGGGGGUGGAGGGUUCCCUGGGGUGAGUCUGACCUGACCACCCCAGGAUGAUCUGGGGCUGAGCAGAGCUGCGGGGAAUAACCAGGAUGGAGGGGUGCGUCCCAGGCUCAUCCAGGGAAAGGUUGCCUCCUGUGAUCUUCUCCCUGGCUUUUCCCAUUGCCUCUGCCAGAGACCUCAGGCCUGGCACAGACUCCAAAAUAAAAGGCCCUGUGUGUUCAUCUGUGCAUGUGUGCAUUUGUGGGGGGGGGGGGAGGUGGGUGCGUGUGUGUGUGUGUGUGUGUGCACGUCUGUGUGUAUUUAUGCUGGUGUGUGUGUAUGAAUGUGUAUGCAUAGGUACAUAUGUAUGCUGGUGUGUGUGCAUGUCUGUGCAUGUAUGUACAUGGACAUGUAUUUAUGAUGUGUGUGUGUAUUUAUGCUGAUGUGUGUGUGUGUGUGGGUCUGUGCAUGUAUGUAUGUGGAUACGUAUUUGUGUGUAUGUAUAUGUCUGUGUAUAUUUAUGAUGGGGUGUGUGUGUAUUUAUGUUGGUGUGUGUGUGUAUUUAUGUUGGUGUGUGUGUGUGUGUACUGAUGCUGGGGUAUGUGUGUGUUCGCGUGUGUACCCUGCGAAGAGUGUUGAGGGGAACCCUCAGCACCUUGCGGGUCUCUCCCACCACUGCCUGCUGCUGGGUGUCCACUUUUGAUCAGCCCACCCCAGUCUGGUGACUUUUCUGGGAUUGUGGCCUGCCUUUAUUUUUGCACUGAGGCCUGCGGAAGCCUUUGGGGGCAGGUCUCUCUCUGGAGAGGACUCCCCUUCUGGAGGAGACUGAGCCCCCACUGCACUCCAGUCUCAGGGAGCCCAGUCUUGCAGAUUGUGGCCGGUCCAGCAUGUGGCCAGCCCAGGAGGGUGUGUGAGGACCAUGGAUGUGGGUGGCUGGUCCCCUCCCCGCUGUGAUGUUGAUGUGCCCUCUGGCCUCAGGCAGGUAGCCUGGGCUAAGGAGCCUCAGUUUCCUCAUCUGUAAAGUGAGGACAGUGCCAGCGAGUGGGAUGGUUGGCAAUGACAAAGGGACACGUGGCUUCUGCUGUGGGCUUCAUCUGGGUGUCCACACCUCCAUUCUGUGGGGAAGGCGGUGCUGUCAGGGGAUGGGGGUGGCGAGUUCCAGAGCCCUCCCUGCAUUAUUCUGAGAACCCCUCCCUGUUAGCUCGGACCGUCCUGGGCAGUAGCUGGUCUCUGGACGGUGGCAGCCUUACUGUUAUGCUUUUGUUGUUGUUGCCGUCUUCCCCUUCUGGCCCUCGCCGUCGGGUGGGGGGUACUGCAGCCUGCCCGCAGCCCCGCCCUCUGUUGCCGCCUCUGACAGCCCUGGCUUCUGGGGGCCCUAUCUGUCCUUCCCGUGCUGCUCUCACCUCCCUCGCCUCCUCUCCUGUUUGGGGCUUGUAUCCUGAGGUCUCAGAGGGUCUUUCUCCUGUAAUUGAGAUAAUGAACACAGUUUUUCCAGGACGGCUGCACUAAAAGUCAAGUGCAAAGUGGUGGUUUUCAUUUAUCUUUCCUCUCUGCCCCUCUGCCUCCUCUCUCUUACUAUACAUCUCUUUACGAAGGGAUUGGCUGAGAGCAAACAGCUAAUAACCUAUGGAUUUAUGGAGCCGGGCGAGCCGGCUUAAUAAGCUUUGAUACCUGGAAUCCGCGUCCUGUCUCUUUAAGUUGAAACUCCGACUUGCCUUGGUAUUUUACAGUGCCUGGUUUCAUUUACGCCGGAGCCAGACUUACUAUGUGAGAGUCGUCCGCUUGCUGGAAUUAGUCUUAAGCUUGCUUCUGUGGCGUUGCCAAAUUCCAUGUUUGUGUUUUAUUUAGAAUUCUUUUCACGGCCAGCCGAUUCUGUGCCGACACACACAGGCUCUGUUGCGCCCCACGGAGAAAAUAAGCAAGCUUGCGUUUCCUUUGGCAGAGGCCGCGGCCACAAUAGACUGCGGUCUCUGAAACAUUUUUUAAAAGCUAUUUUAACCCAUAACAGAUGCAUAAAGUCGGCUCAGGCAUGCCAGUUUUCUUAGUUUUAAUUAAAAAAUAAUUACAGUCUAAUGGGAUGUUAGUGACACAUUUGGAUGAAUGGUGGGUGACAUUAUCUGCAACUUAUAAAUUAGUGCCUCUCCCUUGGCCGGGGCAGGGGUGGGGGAGAAUGAGGGAGGGGGAAUUGGGAUAUUUGUUCUUAAUUGCAGGGUGGGGGCUGGGGGGUGGUUGGGGCUGUGCUGGGGACAGAGGGUCUGAUCGGAGGCCUUGGUGAAUGGUCCCCGGUGCUCAGAAGAGAUUUCCCGCUGUGGCUCCAGGUAACAGGUAUCUCGAGCAUCCUCUAUCCCUGGGUGAUCCACGGAAACUCCCUCACAGAGCUCUUCAGGCAUGUGAUGGGGUUCCCUGGGUCCUGCAGGCUCCAGCCAGCACUUGAUGCUUGGCACCCAUGAUCCCUCCCUGCUUUAGGGGGGCUGGAAGCUCAGCACCUGGGACCUGCUGGGGGCCUGUGUCAAUAAGAGCAAGAGGCAGAAAAAUAGCAUCUUGCCAGGUCCUGGGCUUACAUGAAGCCUGGUCCCAGGGUUGAGUUUUUAUGUGAAACUCCCAUUCAUUGGAGCCCUGAGUGGGAAGAGGGGGGCUGAAGGCCCUGGGAGGCAGAGUCUCUGCAGGGUGAGCUAGGAACAGGCGGCAGGGUGGGGUGGGACAUGGGGGAGCGUCUGUGACAUUUUAUCUCCUCGGCAGGUAACCCAGGCAGGUAAAGUUAUCUCCGUCAAUUAGGCAGCUGAUAAGUGGUGACUCCUGAGCCCAGGUUCCACCUGCCUCUGCUGGGUCUGGGGAACAGGCCUUGGCAAGAGGGAGGACCUGAUGUCCUGGGGCUCAGUCUCCUGGGCCCUGUUCCCUCUCCAGCCAGCCCUGCUAGGGAGAGGAGCGCUGGAGGGUCUCUCUUCAACUGGCACCAGGAGCUGCGUCAUCUGGGGCCUUCCAGGAUCAGGAGAAAGUGUCCCCCUAUGCCUGGUGUGGGUGUGUGCCUGGUGGGGUGCAGCCCAAGUGUGCCCCAGAGAGGACAUGAGGCUUGUGUCAGGCCAGCACACUGAGCAAGGACCUGUCCAGCUGACUUCAGAGCCCAUACUUCCCCUCUGGAAUCCUGCAGUCUGUCCCAGCUGAUGGUGGACACACCCUGUGGCUCAUGGCCCAGCUUGGGAGACCAGGCACUGGCUGGGGGAGCCUUUAUUUUUACUUUUGGGGUGGUGGCUCUUACUGCUGUCCGUGGAGUAAAAUGAACAUUUCUUAGACAAUGUUUCCCUGAGCCCAGAUUCCUCACAAGUGAAAAUUAAGUUCUUCUAUUAAAAACAUGAGUCAUACCAGCCCAGAUGAGAGUUGUUUUGGCGUUCCUCGAAUUUUUGGAAGGGAAACAUCGCAUUCAUGUUAAUCCUUUCAAUUAUACCUCCUUCCUGAAUAAUCCGCAGGGCGCUCGGUAUCGCCGCCCUCUGCCAUCGACUGCAGUCAGGGCUCUGUGCAUGGCACCCGAGAGGGGCAAGUUUAGGGCCACCUUUCCUCUGCCGAUGCACACCCGGGCGGCCUUUCUGUUUAGUGCUUCAGGCACUGUGCUUGGGGUUCCUCCGAUUCCCUCUGCAUGGUCCCGGGUACCUAAUUGCUGCAAAUGAUUAAUGUCUGGUUGAAAAGCUUUGGUGACUGGCUGCUCUUGUGAAUUCUAAGCAGAUAGAUGAGGGCAGGUCCCCUGCUCUGAGCUUGGCCUGGCUACAGAAUCUAGGGUCCCUUCUCUCCUAGUGCGUUUCCUGUGCAGGUGGGGGUGGAGACAGGCUCAUGUCUGCUCCCUCAGUGAACUGGUCUGCAGAUUUGGUGGUAUUAUAAUGAUCAAAGGGACCUCAGCAGGGAGGUGUCCCUGGGGUCUGGGGAUGGACUCAGAGACUUCCUGCUUUGGGGAAAAGCAGGUGGAGGAGGUUGGGGAACCACAUGGGCCUGGGAUCUGCCUCCCUCAGCUUUGUCUCUGACCUUCGCCCCCACAGGGCUUGGUCCAUGGGAAUCUGGUCCACAUCCUGCCCCAGAUUCAGGUCCCAGGGGUGGAGAUGUCCUCUGGGAAGUCUUCACUGAUCCUGGGGCUGAGGUUAGUGCCAUCUCUGCCCUCCCACAUGGGUCCCUGCACUUCUCCAUCGUGACAGCGGGCAGUGGUUAGUCUGGGUCUUGAUUUGUUCCCGGAUGUCCAGGAUGAGGCCUGACCCUCAGGAGGCUGUGCCUGAGCCUGGGUGAAAGCAGGGACCUGGGCAGAUGCACUCUGGGGCCUAUUUCCUGCACUCCUGGCGGCCUGCUUGCUCAGGCCUAGGGGAAACUGCAGGUUUGCACAUUUUAGAAACAGGUCUUGAGCUGUGCAGGGGGCAGCUGUUGGACCAGCCCUGAAUUGCAUCUCUCUGGCCCUGGGUGCCCGAUUUGACUUUGGAGAUAUGGGGUUCCUUUUGCUUUUGCUUCUCCUCAUUCAGCAGGUCUCUGCAGCCCACCUGCUGCUCAGGUGAACGCUGGGUGGGAUGGUGGGUCCUGGGGUCGGAGGCAUCUCUGGGGACACAGAGGAUCGUGGGAGGAUGAGGGUGAGUGGAUGUCAGCUGCUGGGGUGGGGGAAGUCUUCCGCUUUGGAAUGGGAUCCCGAGUGUGGUUUCUGAGUUUGGAACUAACGUUUCUCUUUUGGGAUGUGUGGGGGAGUGGGGAUGGGCAGGAGUUCAAGUUCAUUUACUUGUAUUAAGUUGAAGUUUCCUCUUUUUAUGAGUAAGAAGAAAAAGCCCGUGAAGAUGAUGAGAAACACAGGCUGGAAAAGCCAUUUGUUUACUCAUUAAAUUUCCCAUAAAAUAAAUAAAGAAUUAGAAAGGACCCCGCGGUGGGGGCUGAGGAGAGCCGGGUGUUUCCCUCGGGGUGGGAAACGGGCCAGUGGGUCAAGGCCGUGCACUUGUAUCAGAGAGGACAGGCGCAGCCCCAGGAAGUAGGGGUCGGUGGCCUAGGUGGCCAGAGGAGAGGUGUGUGUGUAUACACGUGCACCCAUGCAGGCAUGGGUGUGUAAGCAUGUGGAGCGCACAUGCGUGUGUAAGCAUGUGCAGAAAUGUGGUCACAGGCAUAUGCAUGUAGGCACUCAUCUGUGCCUGCCUGUGAGUAUGCAUGUGUACACAGGAGUGUGUCUGCUGCAUGUACUGAGUGUGCAAACUGUGCUCACAUGUAUGUCCAUCCAUGUGAGAUGUGUAGGUGCACAUGUGUGUAUCAAGGGCACCCCCCACCCACCUAGGCAGGUACUCUGACCAGCUGCUGUGACACUCUGAGAAGAGGACAGAGCAGCAAAGGGCACGUGAGGGAGCUGGGCAGGAGCAACUCCCUGGUGGGACUGGCCUGGGCUCCGUGGGGUCGGCUGCAGCUGGCGCGGUUCCUGGGGUGGGAGCAGGCCUCUGCUGCCCUCAGAGCCUCCCGAGGUAGAGCUGGGGGCAGAGAGCCUGAUGGGGUGUGGGGGAGGCCUGGGCUUGACCAGCCCUUCCCUGCUUGGCUGGGAGACUGACUUGACAUCCAUCUUCCAGCCUCAGUUGCUCCACGGAGACAUGAUGUUUCCUAGAGGUGAGCGUGGGCCUCGGCAAGGUGGGCUGUUAUGGCCCUUGUUAUUGUGAUGAUGACCACUGCAGGUGGGGAAGGGUCUUGUCCACAUGACCCGGGUCUGCAGCACCUGGUGCCCUGUGUCUGAUGCCCAGGUACAGAGGCCCUGGAUUCCCCAGGGGUGGAGUGUCAAAGCCCUCCCCCUGUUAGGACAGUGCCAGCUGCUCUGUGGGGCUGCAGUGUUGCCUGGACCAGGCCUGGGGACAUCCCUGUCCCCCAGUGGGGAGCCCCAGCCCUAAGUUGGCUUCCCGGUUUUUCGAGGCUCUCUUUCCGCAGUGGCUGUCCGCACCUGCAGGGAGACUCCUGGCUUGGCCAGGCCUCAGGUGUUGGUUCCUCAGUCCUCCGGCUGGAGUUGCUUGGGCUCUUUUGGGAGCCUCUUCAGACCCAGAGCAAAGGGCUGGAGCCAGAGGUGGCCCACGGAGGAGCCAGAGCGCACAGGGCUCUCUCCCCGGGGAGGGCCUGCGGGUGAACAGCCUGCGUGUGGGGUGGCUGGGAAGCUGCGGCCUCCUGUCUGCUGGGGCUGGGGGAGCCCAGGGAUUCAGGGCACCGGGCACCUCCUCGUCCCUGGGGUUUGGCCAUCUUUUGGGACAGCUCUCCAGCCUUGCUGUCUUCUGCAGCCCUGUUCCUACUCUGUUCGUUUCUCCUGGAGGAUUAGACUGGGGCCGCGCGAGGGCAUGAUCAGGCAGGACAGCAGGCGCGCGCGCGCACACACACACACACACACACACAACUCCCCCCGGCCUGCGGUGGCAUCACUUGAUGGUCACACAUCUUCUCCUCCUGGGCCCUGCCUGGUUGCUUCAGGGUGCUAGGCAGGCGCCCUACCAGUGCAUCAUGCUCGCCCAGGAGUUGAAACUACAUUUCUGUCCUGGCAGGACUUUCCCGUGAGGGGCUGAUGGGAGGGGACAUGGCCUGGUUUCAUUUCUUGGCCCUUAAGGAGAGCCCUGGGCAUUCCAGGAUCUUUGCUGGCCAUGUAGCCGGACGCCUCUGCUUAGGUGCUGCAGAUGGAGAGAUGGUGGCUUCCUCGUUGAGGGCAUGGAGCGCCAGGCUCGGCCUGCCUCCCAGGUGCUGUGCAGUUUUGUGGCUCUGCACUCUGGGUGCAGAGGGGAGAGGACUUGGCCUGAGGUCUCAGAGACACAGGGAGGACAGUGGGCCUGGCCAUCCGCCUCCAGGGCUCUCCCUGUCACCUGCCUGUACCCUUUGGGGUACUUUCUGUCCUGUCUCCCACCAGGUUGUUCUUGGCUACUUGGAGUUGUGGGCUCUGGCCACCCAGGCUGAGGGUCCCCCUGCCCAAGGCCAGGCUCCCUGGGGACCAAGACCUGGUCCUUUUGCACGUGAUGCUGAGACUGUGGCUCAGCUUCCCUUCUGGGGGCCUCAGGUGUCACUUGCAAUGCUGUUGCAUGCACAGCCCUCGGCGGGGUUGGCCCUGGCACUGACCUGGUCCCAGCCGUGGCUUCUUCUGUCACAUGGCCUCCGUGGUCUCCAUGGGUUUCCACCCCAGGGCCGUGGCCUGCUCUCCGAUCGCCCAAGAAUUCCCCGCUGAUGUCAGCAGAGGCUGCAUGUUUUGAUCAACAAGAAGCAGAGUUUGGGGACCCAGCAGGAGCCAGACAUGGGCGAGGUGGGCGCCCCCUGUGCUGCCAUCGAGGGGUCCCCUUUUACCUCCUGAAUCUAGGUCUGGGAUCUCUGAGGUGGGAUGGCCUCCCAUGUCACCGAUCAGGAAACUGAGCCUGAGAAGGGCCAGGCCCUCCCAGAGGACCAUGGGCUGCGCAGUGGGACUGUGACUGGCUCCCAGACUCCAGCCCUCCCUCUCCUGGGCCUGCUUUGCAGCCAGGCGCUUCUCUGCGGGGGUUGGAACCUGCUCUGCCUUCGUGCUCUGCCUCCCCACGUGUGUCGGGCUCUGGUGGAGCUGCUGCCCCCACUCCUGGGGCUCCGGGUUCCCAUGUCCAUGUGGCCCUGGCCCCGUGUGGCGGGGGCCGUGUGGCUGUCUGCACAGCCUCCUCUAGACCCGAUGCGCUGAGCAGGGUGUGUGGCUCUCGACCUCUGUGUCUCUGAUACCACAUGUUCCUGGGCCACUGAAGCCUGAGAGUGCCCGCUGGUGGGUGAGUGGCUGACCAAAGUGUGAACUCUGUGGGGUCCUGGGCUAGCAAUGCUUCAAACACGGGCCCUGCCCCCAGCCUCCCUGGACGGGGUGGGGGCAGCUGGGGAUGUCGCCGCCCAGGUGAGCCUUCUCAACCAGAAUCAUGAAGUCCUAAGCCGAACGAAUCCCCAGAACCCCUCUCCUCUUACUGAACAUGCCUCUGGCCAGGCACACCUGUAAUCCCGGCAGCUCAGGAGGCUGGGGCAGGAGGAUCGAAAGUCUGAGGCCAGCUAUAGCAACUUGAUGAGGCCCCAAGCAACUUUGAUCCUGUCUUUAAAUAAAACGGGCUGGGGAUGAGGCUAAGUGUUAAAGCGCCCCUGGGUUCAAUAUCCGGUACCAACAAAACAAAACAAAACUCGGCUCUGCUCUGGUCUGGCUUGGGUUGGUGUCCCUGUCUAUGGCAAGAAGAAAUGGCUCUUUAUUACCCUGGUGCUGCGGGGACUUCGAGAGAGCGGGUGUCCAUGUGAGGGCCUGCUGAGGGCCUGUGGUCGUGACUGCCUGGUAAACUCCAACUCGGGGCUGCUUCCUGAGGACGGGCCUCUGGAAUUGAGGGCCCAGUCAAGUCUGGGGCCCUGUGACUGUGGCCCUGGCUGACCACCAGGCUUUCCACAGGGGGGCGGAGGUCAGGCCCAAGGGAGACUCAGUCCCGACUGUACCACAGGGUGACAAGGAACUAGGUUAGUCUGCUCCUGCUCCCAAAGGGGGGCUCUCGGAGUCCUGGGAAAGUCAGCUUCUCCCUGGGCCUUCGUAGCCUCUGGACCUUCUAGAGGCCAGUGCUGCCCAGUGGUGUCCUGCUGGCCCAGCGGGCUGCGGGGACGCUGCCGCGCACUGACGCCUGCUCUGGGCGGGCCUGGAGCCCUGGCUGCCGCGUCCUGCAGGAGAGCCGCCAGGUCUGCCGUGCUUCCAGGUCACCCAGUGGGAGGGUCAUCUCCGGGCCUCUGGGCACACUGUCCCCUGUUCAUCUGUCUGUGGGUCCAGGAGGGCCAGGGAGGGCCUGGGUGAAUGAGGGUCGUCUUUGGUCCCUCCUGCCCACCAGAAGCAGGAAGGGGUUUGAAGUGACCUGAGUGGGCGGAGCUCCCCCAGCCCAGUGUGGGGGUCCCCGUUGGGGGACCCAGCAGGAGUGGUGUAGACAGAAAAGGAAAUUGUGAGGGCCCUUGGCCAGGGAGGCGCUGAGAAUGGGUCUGCAAAGGCUUGUCUCCGUGCAGAGGGACCCCUGAGCUGUCCCCUUGUCACCCUCCUGCUCUUUGUCUCUUUAUUAUUUGUCCCACAGCUGCCUCCAUAAUGAAAGGAAUCCCAAGCAUUAAGUCAAACAGUAGGAGAAGCUUUCAAAUAAUGGUGGAGGAACAGAGGCCACCAGUCCAGGGGUGGGACAGGUUGUCCCAGUAAUCCGUACUGCAGCAGGGCAUGGCAUUUAGUUCUGAGCUCCCUGGCAGCCUUGGCAAAAAGAGAAGCAGUGUGAGUUUUGAGGAACUUGUAAGAGUGACAGUUCAGGUUAGAAAGAGUUUUGGAUCCACCUCAAGCCUGGGAGACUUCACACACACACAUCUUUUUUAAAGAAAAGGCAGGGCUGUUAUCUAAAGUAAAGCAGCGGAGAGUAAAUACUUCGGCUGUGUGGACUAAAUGUUCUCUCUUGCCACCUCUCAUGGGCAGUUAAAGAGUGGACAUGGCCGCUGUUUCAGUACGUCUGUAUCUGCCAAAACAACCCACCAGUCUGUGGCCUGGUGUUUGUGCCCCUGCCCCAGUAAAGAACAGUGAACAGUAGCCUGACAGAUGACCCUCCCCAAUAGAGACUAGUGACCAGCACGUUGUCGGAUGACUUCAUUACCAGACAAGCAUUUGAGACGCCUUCUCAUACUGACCCCGAUGGAACUGAGUCAACCAAAGGCCUGGCUCUCUUGUUCUGCUUCCUUGGACCUCACUCUGCUCUGUCCCUGGAGAGAAGGAUCUGGGGGUCAAGGGGGCUGCUGGCCCUGGCAGGACCAGGUGAACCGUGCCUGCUCAGGUGUUCCCUUCCCUGGAGGAUGGAGGGGGCCCUGGCUCCCUCGGCAGGACCUCUUGUGCAGGGCUGCCCUUCAGGGUCCACACUUGUUUCUUUGGAGAGACUUGUCGGGAGACCUAGGGGUGGCACUGGGACUGGCUGGGACGUGGCUCUGCCGUGGUUGAGAGCUGCAGUCUCCUGUUUCCUUUGUGUCGAUGGAGGCGACGCGUGGGGACAGGGAAUUCUGCUCCUGCCACUCACAGUGCGUUUCCUUCUUCCUGACGUCAGGCAGUGAAGGCUGUGGGGGGCGAGGGUGCCAGGCAGCUCCUUGGCAAAGUCCAGCUGCUUCUCAGCCCAGCCCAGGUCUGCUUGGGGUUCCUCUAGUGCCCAGGGGGGGCCGCACCCCCUGGAGGGCUCGGGUGCACUGCCCGAGGCCCCGGCUGUAGGACCAGCUCCUGCUGUCACCUCUCCCCCGUCAGAGGUGGGAGGCAGCUGGGAGAGCCCUGGAGCCCCCAGGCCCUGGAAUAUGGAGGGCCCCUGAGUGAGCUCUCCACGGGCCCUGCUGGCCGGGCUGUCUCAGCGUCCCACAUGCUCAUUUUUAGGGUCUGAGACCCUCCACCCCAUCAUGAAGAAAUGGCCAAGGACAGAAGUUCUGUCGCUGCCAGUUCUGAAAUUCUCUCCCGCCCGCCUGGGAGGGGUCCUGCAGCUCCUCCGAAGCCCUGUUUCAUUUCAACACCCUGACCCUGACCCUGACCCUGACCCUGCUGUCAAAGACCCCAUGCCACUAAGUACUGUCCUUUCACCCUGCGUACAAAAGGAAUCCAGUGGGGGUGCGCCCUGACUUUCUGGCAGGGGACCAGGGCCUCGCCUGCCUGUCCUGUCCAAGAACCCUUCAUGAUGGGUGACGUGGGGCCCAGGGCUGUUUUGCUUUGUCCAUGAGGCUGCUUGUAGGUAACUUCGCAGGUUUCCUUGGGUUUUUAACAUUUCUGCAUAAGGGGAGCCCGUUCCAGCAGCCUUCAGAGCCCCGAGGACAGGAUGGGAGUGUGGGGCUUGGCUGUGUCUGACUUUGCCUCAGCUUCUCACCCCAGGGGUGAGCACCUACACUCCAGACCCCUGGAAGGUCAUGAGGUCCCCGGGCAGCUGCUGUGCGGGUCCUGUCCUCAAUGCCGCGCCAGGUGGCUGGGCCUUGGGAUGGACACCCCAGUCCUGAAACCAGCCCAGGCCAGACGCUGUCUGGACAGGGUCCCAGAAGCUGUGCCCCAGGGUUAGGCAGAGCCUGUGCAGUCAGGGCAGGCAGUGGCUGGAAGACCUCAGGGAGGGGACCCUUCCCUCUGUAGCGGCCGGGAGAGGGAGGGACAGGACCUUCCCCAGUCGCUGAGGCCUUGUGAGGCCCACCAGGCCCAAGGCUGGGGGCCUGCCAGGGGUCAGUUGAGAGGAGAAGGGGCUGCUUCCUUCGGUGUCCCCACAGUGCCCUGCUCUCUGUUGGGCUGCAGUGACCCCACCGUGUCCUGGAGCCCCAGUGCCUGCACACAGGAGCAGGCCACCAAGACCCCCUCUCCUUAUUUCGUCCUUCCGGAUGGAGCAGUGCCGUCUCCUCCCUUCACGGACUCUGAACCCAACUCAAGAAAUUGAAGUGGUUGGUGGGUGCGGCGCCUGUGUUGUCUGUCAUGGACACGCAGGUCAGCCCCUGCCCAGCAGGGCUCUGGGAGGAGUGAGGUGUCCCCUCAGAGCCCGCCUUGGCCUCGCACUUUCCCCUUGUGCCCUCGAUGGCACCUGAGCCCGGGGGAUGCUGUGUUCAGCACCACCUGCCCUGCCCACUGAGGCUGCGGGGAGGAGAGAGGGCCAGGUGGACUGGAGUGGCCGCUGCCUUCUUGCUCUGCGCUGGAAGCUCCUUCUGGGCCCCAGUCCCAGCCUCCUCCAGGAAGUGGGAGGUAAGGGAGAUAGUGAGUGGAAGGACCCUGCCUUGUGCCCGGGCACCAGGGGCGCUUGGAAAAGACCGCCGCCAUCUAUUCUGCCGAGCUGGGGGAGGAGGCGGAACUGCUGAGGGACUGGGCAGCUCUGCUGGAGCUGGGUUUUCGGAGGCUGCCCCUUUCCCCAGCACUUGCGCCGUGAGGCCCUGGCUUCUUGGUGGAGGUUGGUACUAGGCGUCUGUCCAGCGUGCCCUGCUCCGGGUCUGACCGUCCACACCACGAGUGCCGUUGGACUUGGGCUUUCAUGGCCAAGAGGUGGCCUCUGUCCCUCCCCGGGGCUUUGGAGUCGUGUGGGCCUGGAAGGGACUGUCCCUUUCCCCUCAGUCUCGUCUCCCUGUGCCCGUCCCGGGCUUCAGAGGGACAGUUGUCCUGUGAGCUCAGCAGGCCUGCGCUGUGGCCGUCAGGGGGUUGCCAUAUCGUCAUCUUCUCGGAUGGGCGCCGGCGGCUCGGCCUGCUCAGGGGACAGUGCCCACUGCUCCUGGGUGGACAUGCCUGGGUGGAGGCCAGCUCCCACCUCAGGCAGAAGUUUCGCAAGCCACAGGGCCGUGAAGGGGCUAGUACGUGUGACUGGGCUGUCCUCCUUCCUGCCUGGAGGACCUUGUGUCUGAGGACCUGUGCCCACGCUGCUCCAGGCACCAGGGGACACAGUCCAUAGGCGCAGCUUGGAGGACGCAGGGUAGGACAGGGAGUUGUGCGCUGACCCCGGGCGGUCACAGGAGGCGUGAGGGAAAACCUGGAGGAGGCGGGACACGCACCAUCAGGCCCCUGGACGGGAGGCCACAGACAGAGGGGGACACCCCAGCAGAGGGUGUGAGGGGGGAGGCCGAGGUGGCUGCUAGCAGCCAAUCAAGGUGAACACAGGGCCAGGACUGGGGCUGGAGGAGGUCUGCUGUCCCCAGGGAGCAGCUUGGUAGUGAGAGCUCUGGAGGAGGGGGGCCUCCAGCUGUGUGACCCUGGAUCCGUCACUUUACCUCUCUGAGCCUUCGGUUCCUCAUCCACAGGGAUGAGGAUGGCAACGGUGGCCUGCCCCAGGUGGCUGCCAGGCCUCAGUCUAGAUGUGAGCAUGCUUAUAUGUGGGGGGUGCUGUCCCUCCCUGCCUCCACACAGCGGUUGUUCCCGCUGUGUGACACCUUAUCAGCUACGGACCACUAGUGAGCAGAGAGGGGUGUUCCUCCGAGGUUCUUGACCUUGGCUUUGCCUGUGGGCAGAACUCCUGGCUGCCGCUGCUUUGCGCCUGGAGACUGCUUGCGUGGGCCGCUGCCCCUUCCUGGGGAACUGGCUUCCCCGUGGCCCGAAGCCGCUCUUGGUUCAGUGCUGGAGGCCUGGAAAGUCGGGAUGGUGUGUGUCCACUGUGACCUGCCCCAGUGCUGGCUGCUCCCCUCUGGGCUGGUCUGGCCGGGUUCCCUUCCCUGCGCGGCAGAGUUUGGUCCCAGAGGAAGGGACGGGAGCCCGGCUUCUCUGGACCAGUGGCCCCUGAAGGCUGCUUCACAUUCAGUUCCGGUCAGCAAAUAUUGACCGAGGACUGCUGUGUGCCCGGCCGGGGGGAGGCCCCUGGGUCCUGGAGGGGAGCCACGUGCCGGCUGUGUCCUCUGCGAGUCCUUGUCCACGACCUGUUGGUUCUGACCUGCUCAGGGUUGGCCCCAGCAGCUGCGCCGUGACAGCCUCCCGCCCAGGCCAGGGACAUGUGGCUGCGGAGGGCUGUGGGGGGCUGUGGAGCAGGUAUUAGGACAGGCGUCUGCAGGGCUGGCUCUGAGCCUGGCCUGAGGGUGGGCCACACGCAUGCAGACACCCAGCCUCAUGGCUUGGUGCCCCUGGGCCUGGCAGAGGUUGCCCCUUUGGGGGACAGAUGCCUGGGCCCAGGGAAGAAGUCCUGUCCUGGAGGUAGGGCUUCCGGAUGUCGGUCCCCAGCCAGCAGGGCCCUUGCCCACAAGGCUGUCAGGGCCGCCCACAUCCCUGGACCUGGCUUCUAGGUCCUGGCCCAUCAGUCUUGGCAGUGACUCAGCUGUGGGCCUUGUGAGUGGAGAUGGCAAGGGCAGGGGAUUUCAGGUGGGUCCCCCUGCUGCCUUCCGGGUGGCAUCUGCUGUCCUUAGGGCUGAGCUGACCUAGGCAGGGCAGUGGGCUUUGCCCCGCCGCGGACCCUGCAGCAGCCUGGACCUCCAGACUCUCGUGGGUGGCGGCCUCAGGGUGUCACCGCUCACCAGUGUGGUGAUGAUUAUUAUUUUGGUCUUUUUUCCAAAAAAAGGCGAGAGUGCCCGUUGACGGCAUUGGGUGCCGUUCCCAGCCGAGGGCUGGCGAAGUCAGGGGGAGCUCUUCCACCAGAAAUCCGCGCUCAGAGGCUGGGAUUUGGGGAAACAGAACCGGCAGGGUUUUUUCCUUCCUUCCCAGGCACUCCGUAUUAUUAAGACACUCUGUCUUAUAAGGGAUGCUGGAUAAUUAAUCCUGUGGCGAGGCAGCAGCAACAAGCGUUCGAAUAUAUUUAAAUAAUGAGGAAGUUCUUUAAUGUGGACCCGUAAAGUAAUUGUGGGCUGGUGGCACGAGAAAGAGAUGGUCUGUAUUUAUUGAAAUGGACUUUUCCCCUUCGGAAGAUGGGGUUUUCUUUUGUGUACACACACACACACACACACACCCAGACACACACAGCACCAGCCAGAACCCUGCUUAAGUCCUCUCUCCCUUUCCAGUGGAAAAGAAUCAAUUAUGCCUUGUGGUCGAUUUCCAAAAACCACUUUUGAUUGUGUGAUUUCUUUUCACUGGAGAGCGCUCCCGUUAGCCCCUGAGCGACCAGACAGGGGAAAGGCCCUCACUAAAAAUCUGGGCGAGACUCUCAGCCACUGAGAAUAUUGACAGCAAUCAGAAAUUCCGCGGCUGUUGAAACUUCGCCUCUAAUUGAACUGGGAAAGGUAAACCUAGAUUCAGGGCUCUGCACGCUAUAAUUGCAAUAAUUUAAUUUAGCUAUUUAACCUGUAAUUCAGUGGUAUUUAUUAAGGAGCAUGGGAGAAAAUGAGGCCAUUAGGAGCCAGAGAUGAAUACAUUGAAAUGAAAAUGAACACUUCUAACUGCCAGUUGACCUUCGGUUUGUAGCAGUUUUUAUUAGGCUGGUCACGGUAAUUACCAGGACGUGAAUCAGGGAGGAAAAGUGAAUAAUUCAGUAAUGAACAUUUUUAUUCAUUAUCUCACAUUUUCAGGAAGCAGACAAGUAUCGCAAAAGUAUCAGCAAUGCUCUGUUUGUUUUUUAAAAGAUGAUGGUUUGUGGACAGUGGCCCCGUGUGAAGCAUCAUUCGGUGGCUUGGGGGGCAGGGUGAGGUAGGCUGGCAUGUCAUCAGGGCCGGCGUGCUUUUGGGGUGCGCCCAGGGAGACGGCAUCACAGACAGCCUGGGAGGAACAAGGAGAGUCAGCACCCGCCGGCCCCAGCCGGGCUAGGUUUUCCCCAAACGACGGGUACAUGGAAAGUUUUCUUGAUGUGCUGGCCAUGGGUGGGGGAAGGAGGUGUCCUCAGGAUGUGAGGGGUAGCCCCAAACUGGCCCCAAGGUGACUGUGAACCAACGCAGUGUUGGGAGGGCUGGGGAUGUGACUGGGAACAUGAAGCGAGAGCUUCUGUAUACUUUGACCCAGGAAUUCUACUCCCAGGAUGCCAGGAACGCUAACCAGGGAGAUGCAUAAAAACAUGCACCCACCACAUUGUCUUUAGAAGAGUGGAAAACUGGAUGCUAGUAGAUUCCGGCAGGAAGAGAAUGUGGAAUGGACCAUGUGCAGGACAUGGGAGGGACCAUUACACAGCAGGGAAAAAGAAUGAUGUAGCAGCUUUUCUAGAGAUGGGGGAAGUGUCAGCAGAGAAUAGAACAAAUCAAACCGUGUGAGGUCUGAGUGGACCUGUCUGAAUCCAAGAGGGUUCAAAAGGGAACCUCAACACUUUAACAGACGUUACAUUGGUCAUUUGCUUCUUCCUCUGAAUCCUCAUCUGUAUCUGUUUCUGCAAGAAGGAAGUAAUCCUUGAAAAUCAGAAAGUGCAGUGACAUUGACCUUUGGAGGUGACUUGCCAAUGGGAGAGCGGUUCCCAGGGGGGCGCGCUACACUGCACCGGCAGCCUCUGCCAAGCCUGCGUUUCAUCAGCUCCUUCUUCCUCUUCCCAGAAAACCCUUCAGCCUUAGAGGUAACAGGGGGAUACGCUCUAAAGACACCCGUGUCAGCGGGCUGUGAUGGAUGGCUGCUCAGCGCUGCUCAGCACCUCUGUGCAUGGGGAGGUAUUAUUUCCAUACCCUGCUGGGAGCUCCAAAUGGGGAGUCUGCCUCCUCUCCUGGGCCCCGGGUACAUGGCCAGGAGUGGGGACACUUGCUGAGGAUGGGCCCCCCCACGCCCACUGUUGAACUGAUGGCCCUGGUCUCUGAGCCUCCUCCACUCUGGCUGUCCGCCCGUCUCUGCUUCUGGUCAUUUCCAUUCAGAUAGAGACGUUAGGAGUGAUCAUAUUCUAUUCAUGCAGCUAGGGAGAGCGGGAGUGGGGCGUGUAUCUUGGUGUUGUCAGAAGGACCUCAUUAGAUACGCAGAUAAUUCUGCCCCCUGCCCCCCAGCAAGGUCUUCAUUUCCUCCCUGGAGAGGCCCUCGCCACCCUCUGACACCCAGACAGGCUGGAGGCUUGCCUUCUGGAAAAAAAAGAAUUGCUCUUUCCAAUUUUCAAUUUUCCAACUUCACUCAUUUCUUUAUUAAGUGCACUGUGGAUAUUGGAGAGAAAGAAAGAAAACGACAGUUCCACCCUGAAUUCAGAGCGUGGGACCCUGCUUCGCAUAGUGAGUUCAGCGGAUGAGCAAGAGAGGGGCGACCAGGGGUCUUUGGGCUCCAGGGUGGUUCCUGGCGCAGCUGGGCCCCUGUCCAGUGUCCUUCUGCCCCAGGGACCUCUCAUCUGACCACUUCCUUGCUUCCGACCUGCCACACCUGCUGUAUCCCAUGGCUGUGCCCUAAAACCAGGUGCUUAUCAGCAAAAACUCCUGAGAAGGGCACGGGCUAGGGCGCAGGAGGACCGGCCUUUGGCUUCUGGUUCUGGUUUUAGGCCUUGGUUCAUUCACCUGUAAAUUCCUGAGCUUCUGUAGGCAAAGCCCUGGGCCCUCAGGCCAGCUUCCCAGGACAAGCCCUCCCGCCGCCCCGUCCAGGCCAGCCUCGGUUCUGCUAAGGUUCUCUUGGUGGCCGUAAGACCCUCCCCAUUAGGGAGGAGCUAAGCAACCUUGGAUGGGGAGACACCUGGGAGAUGACCAAAUGAAAGCCUGGCUCUUGAGGCAUCUCCUGUGGCCUUAGAGAGCAUCACCCCCCACGGGGCUCCUGUUUAUUUGCAGGCAACGCGAGACCCCUGUUCAUCUCCCUGUCCUGGACGGCAGACACGCCCUCUGACCAGGCCCAUGUCUCCUGGAGCGCAGCUGACCUCCCUGGGGCUUGAGAGCACUUGUCCCUCUAGCUGGGGACAGGGCACCAUCAGGGAAGCUGAACUGCUGCCCAGCGAGGGCCCCUGUGGGAAGGCCAGGGCCUGGAUCUCUCCUUCCUUGGAAACUCGUUGGGGGCCACGCUUGGCCAUGGUGGUUGUUGAGAGGGUGUGGAGUGGUCUCCCUGCAGAAUGGCUGGCCCGCUUGGUGCAGUGGGAAGGGAGAAGGCAGGACAUCGAGGCCUCGGUGCUGGGGAUCAGGUCACCUCCCCUCCCCCCAGUUUUUAGGGUGCCGAGGAGGGUAUCGCGACUGGCGACCCCCAGGCGCAGGAUGCCACGGAUCUCGCCGGCUCCUGCAGAGGAACUUUGGAACCUUUCCUCCCCGGUUGCCUGGUUACAAGAUGAUCUGUCACGUGUUCCCCGAGAAGGGGGUUUGGCUGGGGCGAUGCAGUCGCGGGUGGGGGCGCCGGGAGAUAGUGUCUGCUGUUGGGAAAGCAGCGAAUACAUUCGAUCAUAUCAAAUCCCCAUUUAUAUUGCACCGGACAGCCUCACUGCCCAGCUGCCCUCGAAGCCUCGGACCGCUGGGGCUUUUUUGAUGCAUGAAUGAAGACUGGGAAGUGGGCCAGGACUUGGCUCCUGGGCUUCUUCAUCAUUUAUUAGCUUCUAGUUUUAAUUGUUUCGCGACUUCUUUCCAGAUAUUUAUCUAGGAAGAAUUGUCAGUUCUUGCUGCGCCCCACAGACGCGCGGGGCAGGCGCCGAGUGCAGAAUUUUAACGGCUCUUCUGGGCAGCAGGCAGGAGGGCUGUCUCAGGAGACUCCGGCAGGUGUUGGUUGAGCACCUACUAAGUGUCAGACGGUGGUUUGAGGUGACGGCAUGCAGGGAUGAAUGGUGAAUUUGAGGGCUUCUGUAGUACAGGCCUUGGGCUGCAUGGGAGCUCUGUGGCCUCAAGCAGAUUGCUCUACCUCUCUGAGUCUUGGACCCUGUAUCUUGGAUCCAGGGUGGACAAGCUUUUAGCGGUUAUGGGAUACACUGAGACACUUGGCAGGUGCGCACUGAGGGUGGGCUGUUGUUUUGUGGGUGACCCACACAAAGGGUCCUGAUUGUGGGGUGUGGGUUGGAGUAGGGUAAGGGCAGGACACUGCAGUGCCAUUUGGCUUAUGUUCUAGUCUCUGUGAGGCAGGAGUCCUGGGGAGCCCCAGAGAGGAGGCCUGGGGAGUAGUGGGGUGCCACUCGUGUCCUUCCUUUCCUCUAGAGGAUCCCGGGGUCAGAGUGGCCCGCAGUGGUGCUCAGCUGGUUUUCCUGGAGCACAGCUUGGUUUUGCUUCAGGGGAUUUUUCGUCCUCCCGUCACCUGAGUGCAACUGGAGUCUGAAGACCCGAGUCCUUGACCUGUGUGACCUUUCUUGCAUUGGGUGGCCUCUGUUUCCCCUUCGUACACUCUUGGGAGAGGGCUCUGGAUCACGAGGGCUCCCUGGUGGAGAGCCAGGGCCUGCUGGGCCUGACUUUACUGGUGGCCUUUUGUUCCAUGAUUGGGGUGACUUCAGGCGAUGACGCUCCUGGGCCCUGGCUCCUCCCACGGGAGCCGCAGUCGAUGGACUUGCUGUGGGGAUGUGACAGGUGCCCGUCUGCAGGGCUGCCAGCUCCGGUGGGGUUGUCAUUGUGGCGGGCAGUCUGUGCCCUGGUGAGGAAGGCGGCUCUUGAGCCUGUCUCCAGGCCCGAGGCCUAGCUCCUCCCUGUCUGUAGGACCACCACCUGCACCCUUGGAAUCUCUUUUCUCCCCAGCAUGACAGGAAUUUCACAUGGAGGGACGGGUUCAGAGACACUGAGCACCUUGCCUGGGGUCACCCAGCUAAUAACUGCAGACACCCCUUGGGGCACAUGGGACAACACUGGACGGGGCUCUGAAUGACCCAGGGGGCAGAAGCUGGGAAAGGGCACUUGCCAUGCCCACCAGGCCUUCUGGCACUGCCCACCCUGUGGAUGUUUGUCUGGGAGCCCAGUUCUUUGGCCGACUGUCCUAACAGAUCUGUCUGGGGUCAGGAUUGCUGUGCUGCUCAGCCCUGCAGAGGGCAGAUGGUCCCGGACAGUGCCCUGCCACCCCUGGGCUUCUGGAUUCCACUUCUCCCUCCUGUUGCGGGGAGAACCAUGGUGAGGAUCCGCCCUUCCCUGGUGGCACGUGCACCUUGGGAAGUGGCUGCACUUCAGGUCGCUGCGGGGGGCGUGGGGGGGUGGGGGUGGAGUGGGUGGAGGUGGGGGGUGUUGAUUGGUAGGAACCGUCCAAACCCCAGCGCCUGAAUUCCAGUUGGCCAGCAUCGAGGCCAAGGAAACAACUGGAUCUCAUGGGCUCCAAGGAGGAUUGGGACGACUCAGGCAGGAGGUGGUGGAUACCAGAUCUCCAUGUGUCAGCUGGCUUUUGGGCAGGAGGUUAAACACCCAUUUUGACCCGGGAGGUUGGAGAGGCAGAUCUCUUGUGAAACUGGCCCCAAAUGGAUUGAAACAAGACGAUGAUGACCAUCCGCGAAGCAGUGGUGCUGUCGAAUGCCCCUCGUGGCCCGGACUCGGUCCUGACCGCUGUGUCUUCACCCCACGUUUCAUCUUAGGCUUGGCGAGGGUCGUUUAUUUUAGGCUUUUCGAAGGGAAACAUUUUUCUAGAAAAGAGUGGGGUGAGCGCGGGGAGGUCAGCGCUCUGCAGCCGGAAUCUGAGUUCUCCAGCACGUUGCGCCUAGCGAUGGUUAUUGUUCCCCAGAAAAGCACGUCCCUUUUCUUCCUCGCUUUUAACAUUCUGCCCUUGGCAUCUGCUCCAGGCAUUGUGGACGAGGGAGUCUGCGUCCUGACAAUGGGUUAAAGCAAGCACUUAUUGAAAAGCAUUCUCUACUUAAUUACAUUUCCUUCUUCUGGAAGCUAUUUUAAUUUUUUUUUUAUAAUCACAUGUUAAUUGUGUAUUAGCGGGGCCUUUCUGAUUAGUUGAAAACAUAAUGAAACCUUUGUAAACAACACAGAGAGAGGAAAGAAAGGCGAAUGUGUGAAACAGAGACAGUGGUGAGGAGCCAGUUCUCAGAGGCCGAAAUAACUACCUUGCUCUGUGCCAGGGAGGGGCGGAAACUGUACCUGGAAGUCCCCUGGGUGAAUAACGACUCCCCGGGGCAGGGCCGAGCGGCCCUGCUGGUCAGCAGUGAAGCUGGGUUUGCUCACCAGUGGUCCUGAGACGGGACCCUUGCAGUCCCACCCCCUCAUUCGCUCACUCACUCACUCACUCAUGUCCUUGGACCGUUGAAUAACUUCCUCUAUCGAGCACCGACCAGUCUCUCCAUGCAUGGUCUGGAGUCUUCCCUCCAUGCUCAAGACAGGUAUUAUCCCAUUUGUGGAUAAAGAGACUGGAGGUCAGAGUGGAACUCACGCAUUCAAGUUUAGCCAAGUUUGGGGAGCUGAAUGGAUCUACCCCAGCCCCAGCCCAGUGGGGUUCUGAGGCCGCUGUGUCCCUUCCCAUCUCACUUUCACAGGGAUCCCAGACACCUGGUACCAGUCAGGCCCACAAGAGCGGGGAAGGAGCCGGCCGGGCUGGGCCUGUGUGUGUAGCAGAGUGGGUGAAAGGUGGCAUGCUGCUGUCCCCAGAACAUGCCGGCUUUGUUUCAUUUUCUGCUCUUAACGAGAGCCACGUUUCUGUCUUAGAGCCCCAGCCCUGGUUUCCAGGCCCUAUUGUGGUGAGCGGCCCCAGGGCCCUGCUCUGUUCCCCAUUUAAAGGGCUGGGCUUACAGGGGUUUUGCAGUUCCCAGGCUGUUAUUAGGGAAGCGUGGCUGGGGCGCUUAAAAUGAAAGUGCUACUGUGUGGAGAGCCAGGUUCACUGCGCGCACUCCAAGGAGACGCUGCCAAGACGGUAUCAUGAGCAGCCGCCAAGCAAAACACGCGCUCCGUCCAGAGCAGCCGGCUCCCUUCUGCAAAUAGGGGAAAAAUUGACUUUCUGAUUUGGAGUGUUUCUACAACUAGGAAGACUCACUCCAGUGAUUGUUCUAAAAAUAUUCCAGAGGCAGCACGUUCUCCGAGGCCUCGGGACGCUCAGCAACCCUUAAUUGUGCUUUUUAUGUAAUCUCCCUGGAUGGUGUGGGCUUUGUGUUUUUUUCCAGUCACUUAAGUCUGCAUGGUCAUCCCCGCCGCGCCCCACCCCACCCCACUCACAGUGUGGCUGUGGCCUCUGAGAGUGGCGCACGCAGCAGAAAUGGGGUGUUUAUCUCUUUGACUUCAGGAAGUGUGUUUGGGUUUGGUGUCCUGCAGCCACGUUGCGAGCUGAAUCUAGGGCAGCCCUGACAUCUCUGGCCUUCACACCCAGAGGAUCUGGGUGGCGGUGGGCCGGGGCAGGAGUACCCACCGAUGGACUGGUCUGCUCCCUUCGCCUGUUCGGCUCCCCUUCUUUGCAACACUCCCUCCCUGGGAGCCCCAGAGCCCAGAGUCCUGGGCCACUCUGGAAUGCAGAGGACCUCUGCCCCAUGAGUGCCUGGGUGCCACAGUGCCUCCAUUGGCCAAAGUGGAGGUGUGGGCCCAGCUGGCCCCCGUGCUCACCUCCUCCUCCUCUCUCCUCCCACUCCCCUCACUCCCCAGUCUUGCUUUCUCUUUCAGUCUCUUUUGCUGGGCUCAAGGGCAGUGUCCACAAGGAGACCAGGAUUGAAGUGGAACUCCUAGCUCAGGGCAGCUCACCCCCUGGGCUGGGGAUACUUAGGGCUGUGGGGGGUGUCCUGCUCAUUGGGCAGUGUUAAGCAGCUCUCUGGCCUCUACCCAGUACAUGCUGGGGCUCCCCAGUUGUGACAAUCGAAAAUGUCUCCAGACAUCAAUCAGAGUCCCUUAGAGGGUUCCACCGAGACCCCGUGGUCUGGGGUGUUCCAUCGUUAUGUGUAGGAAAGAGCAAUAACAGCAAGACCUGGAAUUUGAGAAUGAAGUCCACCCUGAAAUUUUACCUCCAAAGCAUGUUUUAAGAGGACAUUACAGGAUGACCCUGUUGUGAGGGUGACCUCCAUGUGACCUGUGUGACAUGCUGUCCCUGGGGGGCGGGUGACUAUACCUUCAGAUAAUCCAGUACUUUUCCUCUAACACAUCCCCUAUGCUGGGCUCCGGGAGCAGCUCUGCCAGACUGGUUUUGGCUGGUUAUGGUGAUGGACACUUCUGAGGACUUGGCCAGGAGACUGGGUCAUGGCCACCCUCCCCUCUUUCCUUCCUUCCUUCUGCUUCCUUCCUUCCUUGGAGACUGACUGAUUGAUUGAUUGCUCAGUGUCGGGAGUUGGACCCAGCCUGUCCCCCGGCAAGCGCCUCUUCAGUGACACGUGCUGGGACCAUUUACAGGCAUCGUGUUGUGUGGUUUCCAUGUCGACUCAUUCCGGGGGCACCUAGGAAGGGCGGGUGCCAGAGGUCACUGCACCCGUCUGUAGACCCAUCUUGGAGAAACCUGCGACGGGGUGGUCAGCAGGUUGUGCCCGGCUUCCUUGGAACACCACGUGACUGAAUGUGAUUCCCGGGCUCAGCCCAAACCCAGGCCUCUGCUGGCCACGCUCCGCCAGCUGGCCAGCCACGCCAGGCUCCAGGCACUGCAGACGUUUGGAAUUCAUGGGGCUCCCCCUCCCUGGGCUGCUGGGCUUCAGGUUCUCUGGAGCAGCCCCGACAGCGCCCGCCUGGAGCCUCCUGGCUGCAGUUCCCCACCCUGCGCCACGCCUCCUUUGUCAGCAGCUGGGCACCCACGGCCCCUUGCUCAUUCCCUCCUGCCCUCUAGUGCCACCCGUGAGGCCCAGUGCCGGGAGGACCCACUGUCUCAGCUGCUGUGGGUCCCAAGCCAGAGCUGGGGCCAUGGUGGGGUCUAACCACUGGACUGCCCAGCCUCAGAGCCGGCUGGUAGUACUUGCCGGGGCUCUGUGAGCGGGCCUGGCUGCCAUCGCCGGCUGCCCCGUGUCACCCCCCCACCAUGAGAUGCCACACACACAUGCUACAUUUUUGCGUGGACCUGUGUUCAGCCUCCUCCGUACCCUCCAUGGUGCUGUUGGCACACCUCCGAGUCCUGAUUCUGGAACCGUGCAUCCGGGCACCCGGAAACUUGCACAGCAGCAGGCUGUGCCUGGCGAGGAUGACCACGGCCCGGCUGCCGGCAGCGGGCUGGAGGAAGCUUGGCACCAUGGCAGAGGCAAAGUGCCGCAGAAGUGCCGCAGGUUUUUCAUAUGGAAAUGUGAAAUAAUGGGGUGAUUAAAUAGAGCUGUAUAUUAAAGUACAUCUGACAUUAGAAUUACCAUAAUGUGCUGUAGCCUUAGGCUGAGUACUUUAUUUGCCAUCUGCGUCGGCCCCAAAUCCCCCGGGGAAGCGCUAAAAUAUUCUGAAUAAACUCAGCUCGAGUUCUUAUUGAGAGUAAAAUACCAUUUGUGGCACGUCGUAUUGAUUCGUCUUAAUUGUGGUGCAGAAAAGAACAUUCACUGGCUGAUGACUUUUGUGCUUGGUGACAAGCUGGCCGGAGUCACUCUAACACUGCGGUUGGUUAACCUGGGCAGACGGGCCGCCAAGGCCGGGCAGGCACCUGGGCUCCAGGCUGAAGCUGCAGUGCCACCCCCUGCCCCUGCUCAGGGCCGGCACAGGCACAGCUGGGGCUCCCUGCCAGCCCCCUGCUCUCCUGGAGGGACUUGAGGGUGGAGGGCGGGCGCCCCUUUGGGGGCAAGGAAAUUCAUGCUGUACCCUGCAGGCGCCUCUCCGUGUCCGGCUUCGUCAUCUCCCAGCAAGGCAGGAGCAUGGGUCAGCUGUGGAAAGAGGGCCGUUGCCCCAGCCUCUGGCUCGACAGAUGCACUGUGCAUGCUCAAGGAAACAAAAAGAGACAUGAGAGAGAGAGAGAGAGAGAGAGAGAGAGAGAGAGAGAGAGGUGGGAGAGAUGCCACCAGGCAAAGCCAAGCUUGACUGGUCAUUGCAGGGUGGCCAUGGGACCUGGUGAUGCUCCCUUAAGCCCUCCGGGGGAAGGUGCUCGCAGGAUGCUUUAGAGAUGCGAGCCACCGGGCGUAAACACCUGGUGGAGCAAACAGCGCUCCCCCCAUUCUCGAGGUCCAGUUUUUACCCUAUAAUUGCCUAUCAUUAUACACAAUUUAAAUAUUCAAACAUCCUGCACAAACCCUGGGCUAGCGUGUUUUUAUUACAAAUUCAGAACAAGGGAAUAACCUUUAACUUCAGAGACAAAUUUACAAGUGCAUAUCUGCUGUUUUCUCGUGCUUUAUCAAUCCCUGCAGACCGGAACACUUUUGCUAUAACACCACUCCGAACAAUAUACAUAUAUUACUACUUGUUUGUAGUGAGUCGGUAAUGAGUCCCCUCUGCAUUCGCUAACCUAUAUAACUCGGCGUCGAGGCUCUCCAUAACGUCAAUUAUCUCCUCACAGCUAAACGUACACUCCAUUAAAACGAGAUUUACUGCCCCGGCCGUACUUCUUGGGGUGGAAAGUGGAGAUUUUUGUGGAUUUAAGGAAAGGAGGGCUGCAGCCCGUCCUGCGGAGGAAGUGGUAGAUUACGGAGAAGGGGGACUUCCUGUGUGGCCGGGGAGGAGGCUGAGCUCCCACGUGAGGCCAAGACACACGUGUGUGCGCGCGCACAUUCGAGGUGCCCGCUCCCCCUCCUCUGCUCAUCGUCUCCUAAUUCACCCCUUUUUGUCCAUUCAGUGAUAAGGGUGGUUUGCUGCAUGCUUCUUGGUCGCACUGGGAGGCCACUACUGUCCCCAGAGUUCUAGAAACAUCUCUGAACAUUCCAUGUGGGGUGGGGUGGGGUGGGGGAGCCAAACCACCCAGUGAGUUCAUCUGCCGAUCCCCCAAGCCCCUGGGAGAGUGUCGGCCCUUGCAGGGAAGCAGAUUUCAGGGGAAUGCCAUCUCUGCCGCUGAAGACGGAUACUUCUUCCGGUGAAUCUGAGCCCCUUGUUCAGGGGGAGGAGGUGCUCUGAAGACUUGAGAGAUGGGCUGGAGCUCUCUCUGAGUGCUUCAGUUGAGUAACCACAUGUGAGGCCGCCCUGGGCACCCGGACCUGCCCACUGCUCUUCCAUCUCACUGACAAACACUGCCGUUUGUCUCCCUAUGCUGAGAUGCCCCACGGUCAGCAAUUUCGCUUUGUUUUGGGGUUGGGUGUCUAUUUCCUGAGCCUGAAACUGCACACCUGGUCUGACCACAGAAUUGAGCAGUUAAAAUAAAGACUGUUUUGGGAAACCUGGGGUGCACGGGGACUGCAGCUGUGGUUCAGUUUGAAUACUUCUCUGUUCCACGAAGAGCCUGGACCGCACUGUUCCUGAAGGUGGAUUCACAGUCCUCUGGUAUUCAGAUGAGAAGCUUGCUGGAAUUGUUGAACUCCUGCUUGAGAGGACGAUAGAAAAGCCACUGCCUAGGAUCAUGGUCUUCACACUGUGUUCUAAGUUUCAUUGGUUUAUGUCGCAUGGCUUCACUGUUUGCGCAGAGUGGGUCUGGUUGGAAGCAGAGUUCUGAAGGGUUCACCAGCAUUCUUCUGUUGUGCUGAGAUUUUGUGAGACUUCAGGGAGGUCUUGAAGGUGGGCUUGAACAUCUUUAUUAUCUUUUUUUUUCAUUUUUAAUGUGGAAGUUUUCACUGGGAUGGAAUGUACAGCUAUUGGAAUUUUUUUUUUUUUUUUUCCCGUAUCCAGCCAAGUUUCUUAACCCGGCUCCAGACCCUCACACUGAUUCCAGGGCCUCUUUUUGAGUCUAGGCUCCUCCCUCCAGGCCUCUGUGUGGUGUUUUUCUCUGCCCCGUAUGCCCUUUCCCUUCCUUCCCUACACAAUGGACUCGUUCCUGCUGAGCUGGGCUCAGAGUCCCCCCCUUGGGGCAUCUGGUCCUCCAGGAUGUUGGUCUCUCCCUCCUGGGUCCAUUGCAUAUUGCACUCCUGGUUUGUGACCAAAUGGCUUCAACCCUUCCUAGAUACAUGUGUCCCAAAUACCAGGCUUCGGGCUGCAUGAGGGCAGCCUUGAGUUUCUGGGGCCCGCUGCACAGAGGGUCCCAGCGUCUGCAGAGGGAGGGAGGGAAAGAGAUGCACGUGAGUAAAAGAUGCUGAGAAUUUGCUGUCACCAUUUAUUUCCAUAGUGGUACCUCGAUCGCAAGAGGAAGUGUGGCCUUGAGCUGUCCUCAUACUCCUCCCCAAGUGAGAACCCCUGGGAGCAGGACGCACCUGCACAUGUAGCCUACUUUAGGAGCAUGAGCUUGGGGGUCGAGGACAGCCCUGCACUGAGGCCCUGUGGUGGCCUGGCCAGCACUGGAGGGAAGCCCUUCAGAACUGCAUGGAGCAGCUGCUGUGUCCCCCGUCUUUGUCUCAACCUUUGUGCAGCAGGGUGUCCUGCAGUUGUGGGCUCAGGCAGCCUCCACCUUGGGGCCUCUCCUUCCUCUUAGGUGUGCACAGCUUGGACAUCAACUCUGUGUCGUUGCCUGCUGCCUCCUCUCUGGGUGCCCUGAAGUCCUGCUGCAGCUCUGGUUCUAUCUUGGGGUUCUGUGUCCCGUCCACUGCUUAGCCUGACCCCCACCUGUGGCCUCCUGGAGGGGAGGCGAGCAGGACUUGCUUCAGGCACACCUGGGCAUACCUGGCGAUGCCAGGCUCUUGGUUGGAGGCUGUUAGUUGAGGGCUUUUCUUCCAGCCUCAGUUAACUCCAGGCAGAUGGAGCCAAGCAGGUCAGCCCUGCCAAGCAGGUCCUGUCCAGGCAAAUGGGCAUCGCCAAGCACUGUGGGGCUGACCGCGGCUCCUCGUGCGUAAGAUCUCUUCUCGGCCCUUGACCCUGGGGCUGGGCCUCCCUGUCCUGUUCUCCAGAUCCUGUAGCUGGGCCCCUGUCCCACUGUCUUGAUCCUGUGGCUGGGCUUCCCUGUCCUAUAGCUGGGCCUCCCUGACCUGCUUUGUCUGGUGUCCAUGGGUGCUGGUGGAAUGGUUGGGCAUGGCUGAGCUGGGCUCCUCUCAAGGCCAGUGACAGCAGAGUUAUCAGUCCCUGUGCGAGGGGGCAGCCAGCUGUGUGUCCAGAUGCAGUACUGGCCCCAGGUCCGUCUGGCUGGGUAUGAGUGCUGUUCUGCCACUUAACCCAUGACACCCUGUGCCCCUCGCCUUGUCUCUGAUGAUGGAAAGUGUGAAUUCACACUCCCUGGAGUGCCACCUGAUGCUCAGGCCUUUUCAAAAACCCAGUGCUGCCUUGUGAUCCGAAUGAAGGGGGUCUGGACACAGCGCUCUGGGAAUAGACAGGGGUGUGUGCUUGAGUUGGAUCUGGAAGGAGGUUUUGCAGGUAGAGAAUAGAAGACAGGUAUUUCAGGCAGCAGGAACUGGCAAGGGCUUGGAGGGAUGAAAAUGGACAGCCCAAAGAGAGGGGCCUCAGAGAGGGCGUGGCCAGGGUGUGAUGGUGGAGGCCGCAGGAUGGCGUCUGGGCAGCGGGGCUGCGUCAGCUCUGGGGCUCAGGGAGCUAGCUGGCUCUUCUGCGGGGUAGUGGCAGAGGUGGGGGCAUUUUUUCUUGUUCUGGUCAGUGUCACUUGGGAUCCUGGUAUGCUCCUGUGGUUGGAAUGCUGCUGCCCAGAGGCUGCGUGGUGCUAGGCAGGUCCCAUGCCUUGGUGCCCAGGAAGAGGGGCCGUUUGCUGAGAGGGCUGAACUGAGCCGUGCCUGGGGCUGACCUGGUGUGGAGGGCAGGGCUGACUGUAGACUCAGGGUUCGCUGUGCCUGGGUGGGUGCCCUUGUCCUGGUGGUGAUGCCUUCAAUGACAUUGACCACGGAAAACACCCGGAACACAAAGUGCAGGUGUUUCCUGCAUCUCCCUGUGUGGCCUCCUGCGCACCCAGGGUCCACUGCCUGGGGACCCCAUUUCAAGUACUUCACCAAGAUGAUUCCGCAUCCCACAACAUAUAAGCCCCAGUGUUGCCUUCACCAUACAGAUGGGGACCCUGAAGCUCCUUCAGUCCAGCCAUGUGGCCAAAGUGUCCUGGCUUCAAAGUGAAUCUGGAGGGAAUGUGGGGUCCGGCUGGCAAAUCCAAGGAGCACACCAAGCUGCAGGACUCUCAUUACUGUAGGCCAGUUAUAAAGCACUUGGGCCUCAGUCACCACACUGGGGAGGGUCCUAGCCGUCAAUAAAACCAGCUCAGUCCUGUCCUCAAGGAGCCUGGAAUCCAGCCAGAGGAUGAAUUUUAGAUGAAUAAUCCAAGGCCAGUAAUGUCUUCUUGAGUUUCCUUUGUUUCUUUUAUAAAUGGCGACAAUGUGUGUAGUUCUUGGGAUGGUGAAUGAGGACACAAGCAGGUCAGAAGCCCAACAUAGUACAGGCUCCAAGCCCCCAAUCCAGCCGAGCCCUUGAAUCUCUCCUCUCUGCACACUGAGCUUCCCCUAGUACCACCCCAAAUUUCCAUGAAAUGACUGAGCUAGUUCUUAGGUGCUCCCUGUCUGCCUUGGACUGCAAGGCGCCUCCCCAGCCAGGCGCCUCCCACACACAGAAGACUCGGCUCCCGCUUGUCCCGUGAGAGAAUGACAGGCAGGUGUAGUCACUGAGCUCAGCAGGACACAGCGCUACUGAGUGUACUGGCCUUGUCUGUUGUGAUCAAUGGACUUAGGUGUGCUGGUGUCCACAAACAGUAGAGAGGCUCAGGCGCACUUGAUUUGGUGAUGGCUGUCUGGAGCCUGGGGAUCCAGAGGAUUCCAGGCCUGGAGGGAGAGUGCGGGGAUGGAUUGGUGAUGUCUGCCACAGGCACUGGCUUUGGGGAGUGGGUCUGUUCUCUCAUUGGGGAGCAGAUACCCUCAGUCCUAGUCCCACAGUUACUGCCACCACAGCACCAGCACCCUGUCGGGACCACUUGUGAAAGAUUUUUUUUCUUCUAAAAUAGCUGCAACUAUUACUUUCCCAUGAGUCAGUCAGCUUGAUUUCAUGAGUUAUUGUGGUUCUAACUCCCAAACAGCACGUCUUGACACUUUGGUUAGCACUUGAGCUGGAAUGAGAGGUAAAACACCAAAGCAUACAGUUUCCCUUGCCCCGGGAUCCUUUGGCUCCAGGGGCUCCGAGUCUGCACAGAGACUCUGGACCCACCUUUUAUCUCAGCAGUGUAACAGCAGGAGCUCCUCUGGCCAGGAGUGUGGCCUUGGUUGGACGCCUCAUCUCUUCCAGCCCUCAGCUUCAGAGGUCACUGGGGUGAGGUCUUCUGUGUGCUCAGCUCGGGGACAGCUCAGGGAGUGGAUUUAUUGUACUCGUCACUGCAGCUCCACUUGCUGCUGAGGAGGGCUGAGAUUGGACGGGACGCAUUCGGGGUGAGCAGCGGUGCCUGCCGAUUCUAUGGAUGACAAGGCCCAGGAAUAGUGCAAACGUGAAGCUUCGUAGACUCCAAGGCACUCAGUCGAUGUUUUCUUUCUGACAGAUGGUUUUCAUUUUUGUUUGUUUUUUUGCGGAGUUAGGGAUUGAACUCUGGGCCUCCUGCAUCGGCCUGUGCUCUCCCACUGAGCCACACCUUUCAUGAGCAGCCGUAGAUUCUAGAGGACGAUUAAGCACUCAGCUUGCAAAACCAGCCUUGUCUUUGGUCCUGUAUCCUGGUCAUCCUGAAGGCCAGAAUGGGAAGAAAGCUGCCUCUGGGCCUUCUGGGGCCUGGCUUCUUGGCCCUAGACUCAGCCACCUCAGUAUCUUAUGACCCUCUCCCCUGUCUGUCCCCCAAGUGGCAUAUGGCACCCAGUGGGCUUUCUGGCUCUGAGAAAUGACUCCACUUCUUCUCUCUGGGGUCAAGGCCUGUGGUGGACUUGACUGGGGUCCAUCCAAGGGUAAUGAGUGCCCUUCACACAGUACAAUGGUGGACCCCUGUCCUGACGUCUACUGUGAUAAAGGACAGGGAAUCCUUCCGGUGGCAGGUCCUGUGUGCUGGAGGCAAGGGGGUCCUGCAGGGGGCCCCUGAAGGGGGCCGUGGCCUGGCUGCAUUCUGGCUGCGUGAACUUGCUUUGCUAGCCUCCGUGUCCUCGUGCCAGCAGGGCCAGGUCCUUGCCUGGCCUCCCUCUGAGAUGGUGGUGAGCAGUGAUGAGCUAAUGCGGUGGAAAGGCCCCAUCAGGUGCAGAAUGCUCUGCAGCCUGUAGAGGGGCCACAAGGCCCAGAACCGAUCCUCUCUGGCAGCCUGGGCCACUGAAUCUCUCGCAGGGCAAAUGCCCUUCCAUUUGGUAUCAGUUGGCCUGGAGGGCCAGCACUCUCAAUUAUGGCCUAUUCAUUGAAUAAUGAUUCAAUUAAAGGUAUGCUUUUUAUGGAACACCCUGAUGCCUUUAUUGGUCUUACUAGAGUAGCUGGCAUCAUGAGGAGGAACCAUUAUUUCAAUGCACAUAAAACAGAGUCUGGGACCCGAGGGAGAGCAGCAUUCCAAUGCAGGAGUCCAGUUGCCUGUUGGUUCCCAACGUCACCAUAAAAAAUCACGUUUCCUCAGCGUUUGCAAGUUUCUGCUUCCCGGGAACCUCUACUACAUGAGGCCGGCUGCAUUAAAAUUCCUCCAGGGUUUUAUUACUGCCAGAGCCGCACUGAAAGCCGUCCCUGAACCACGCACCACCAGGCACAGGAUGGAAAACAAAACCGCAACGAGUGAACCCCUCCCUGCACCCGCUGCGUGGCGAUGCGUGAUUUACAGGGACAGCAUCUCAUUCAUGCCCCAGCCCUCUAGCGAGGCAGGUGUGUGAUUUGUGUUCUACUGAUGAGGAAAUCAAGGCUCAGAGGGGUUAGGUGACUUGCUUGGCAGCACCUGUCUGGGAAGAGGGCAGAGGUAUUAAGCAAAUGCUGCUGUCCAGGGCUCUGGUAACCAAGAGGUCACGGGGAGGGUUUUGCAUUUGAGAGAGAUGCCAAGGGGAUCACUUUAGAGUCAGUAGAACCAAGAAGAUCCAGUGUCGGCUUCUGCCAGAGGGCACUAGAAAGGUCCGAGAGAUGAGGGCGGAAGGAAGCCAGCAGAUGAAGAGCUGGGCCCUGAGUUCUGAAUUGCCCUGUGCCAUUCCACCAGCAAAACGCAGCUGCUAUUUCCAGGUCUGUAGGCCAGGUUCGAUGUUUCUGGGUAAACCACUUCUAAACAGUCUAGGCCUUGACCUGUCUCUGUUGGAGCCAUGGUGGGAGUGGGUCCUGUCUGGGACACCAGCAAAGAACUCGCCUUGAGCUACAGUUCUGCCUCCAACUCCCUCAGGUGGCCUGAGCUCCAGGAGGGGUUGGUGCAGGGCGUGUUUGAUCUCAGGAAGGGGAAUGGGCAGGCCCAGAGUCGGAAUCAGCCUGCUAUCUAAGGGUCCACCGCUGAAUUUGUGCUUUUUUUUUUUUUUAAGAAAAUUGAGUUUUUGAAUACAUUUUGAAAACAUUCAGAGUGGCUCUUCAAAGACUUUCUGGUAUUCUGGCCUUAGAAGUGAGAGUCCCGUGUUCAGGACCACUUAUGGCAGGAGAUAACCAGGAAGUCAUUUUAUUAAAAAAAGAAUGAGGGUGUCAAAGGAGUUGUCUAGGGAGGGCCUCGAGGGCUGGGAGAGCCUCAGACGGUCAGGUGCUGUCAGAUCCCAGGGAGGCCACUGCCUGUGGUCAGCCUUGCUGUUCACACAGGGGAUCUUCCAAUCAGAGUGGGUCAGGGGGCUCUGGUAAGAAAGAACUUACCCUGGCAUGACAGACGGCCUGAGAUCCCACUUGUAAACAGAGCUCUUUGCUACCUCACGGUGAAUUAUGGACAGGUAAAUUCCUCCUGAAGCUGGAGUUUUAGAAGUGUCCAUUUUUUUUUUUUUAAACAAGAAGUGGAAACAUCUGAGCUUUUUAGAACAUGCAGCUACAUGUUUCUCAGCAGUUGCCAUUUUGAGUUUUUAAAAAAUGUAAUCGGCCAUUUCGGCCUCCAGGCAGUCUUCAUCGCCCUGCCUAGGACCUCUGCAUUUUCCUCUGAAAUUCCCCACUAGCCACAGAACUUUCUAGGAAAUGCAUAGCCACCAGAUCAAGAAACAGGAAGUGCUUUGGAGCUACCUAAGGAAGCGGAGAUGAUGGAGAAGAGAUGUGGGGAGGGAGGUCCAGAUGAAAACCAGGCAGAACCACAGUGGCCGUGGGCCAUCAACCCUUGAGUUAGAUUGGACGAAGCUGGGGAAGGGUUCUGACAUGCCUUUUAAUUUGAAGAUCUGUGACCUCGGUGGACGUGGCACUUCAUUUGUGUCAUUAGCUCCUGGGUCUGAAAAGGACUUUCAUUUAUCUUCUCAUUUAUUGCUUACUUAUAAGAGCCCUCUAAGUAUGGUUUCUGGCUGUCUGUCUCAUGAGCUGUCUGAGGUAUGAUGUCCACUUCCCCGGAGAAGCCGAUGCCCCCUCUGCUAGUGGCCUGCAGAAAGGGUGGGGGUGUCUGUGGCCCGACAAUGAGCAUCAUGGCCAUUCGGGCCUUUCUACCCUCUUCCAGGUGGGGGACAUUCCCUUGGGGGGUGUGAUAGGGACAGAGUCACUCAGACACUCUGGGAGAGGGAAAAGGCCCCAACACCCUGGAGAAGAAAAUAGCCUUGGAAGUUCUCCCUGAGCUAUUUUAAAGGCGAGGCGAGGCUGAGCCUCAGAAUUCUGUCCUGCCCCUCCCUGCCUCUGGUCUUCUCUCCACCAAACAGACACAAAGUGAGAGUGCACUGUGGCAUAAUCCCCGAGUACAGCAGGCACGUAAAAGCACGUCCCGGUUUCCAGUGCCAGGUGUCCCAUCGGGUUGGUUCUGAAGUCUGGGGAGUCUGUGCCCAGCCCGUUGGGCAGCUUCUGCAACACUGCCCAUGGGGGGUGUGUCGGGAGGUCCUCGACCCUUGGAUGCUGGCAAGGCUAAUUUGUGAGAGAGGCACACUCAAGACCGAAUCCCUCUGGUGGAAUUCAGGGCCACGUGCCUUGUGCCUUUUAAAGAUGGUUUCUGAAGGAUAGUUAAGGCAGCUACAAGCUCUGCUAAGGCUGCUCCCUCCAGGAACAUAAUUAGUGGGUGUAAAACAAAAACACGCUCUGCGCGGGAUUUCAGAGUCCUUAAGUCGAGGGGUGGAGCAGCCAAGAUGGGGAUUGCUUUGUCUACUCCCCCCGUGUGGCCUUCCUGAUGUGGGCGCGAUGACAACGAGCAUGUUUGGCCUCACCAGCGUGCCUGACUUUAAAAUCUGCGUUAGAUUUUCCAGGUUCAGGAAAGUUUGAAUAAAACAAAAGGAGCUUUUCAAGACUGCAGUGGCGACGUCUUGUACCUGGUCUGGGAUGGGAUUCCUGUUAUUUUUUCCUUCCCGGCUGGUGCAUCUGAUGAUGGAAGAUGGCCUGUCCGCGCCUGUCUCACUUGUGUAAAGCGUUAACAGGGGCUCCGGUCGGCAGAGCAGCCAGAUUCAGCAGAGGUCGAGGAGGCCGGCUGUGAGAAGGUUCCAGAUGAAAGGUUCAGCCUCCAUUUUGUGACUGCCUCAAUGAUGGACAAAGACGGUGACAUUUUGGCUCAGUGCCACCAGAGCCCACUUACAGUUUGCUACCCAUAUCACUGGAGCCAGUUCUGACAAAUCAACCUUUACAGUGGUUCAUCCUGAUGGCCUGUCAGGCAUGGCGUGGCCUUUCAUUCCUUAGUAUUCUGGUACUCCUCGAGGUCAGUGUCCUGAAGGGGCCCAUGGAAGCUGAAUUCCACACCACAUCUGGGGCCUGGCCUGUGCAUGAGGACACUAGGCAGGGACAGCUGUUGGGUCUCUGCAGCACUUUAUAUAGGCUGUUUCAACUGCACAGUGCUUUCUGCAGGGACACUGGUGUGGGAAACACAGGGAUUUCCUAUGGCUAAAUGGCAAACAUUGCAAAGAUAUCGCAACCAUCUCUCCUCAAGAAAAAAACAUUUCUUUGCAAUUACCUUGAAUCAAAUAUUGUCUGAAUCAGUGUUUCCCAUGGUGGAGAGGUGAUUUUGCUCUGCAGGGGACAAAUGGUGUGUCUGGAGAUAUUUUUGGUCUCCACUCAGAAGGAGGGGUGCUCCCCACAAUACCAAGACUGCCCUGCUCCCACCCCAACAAAGAAUCAUUGGGGUCUAAUGUCAAUAGGGUUUGGGUUAAGAAACCCCAGUCUAGAUUGCCUUAUAUGGUUGAGCUUUGGCCUAGCUGUUUUUCCCAGUCCAUUGUUUGCUGAUUCCAUUAAAAUAAAGCUUUCUUCUGGGCACACUUUCAUCUGGUUUCUGAGAUAAGGAGAAAAGCACCUUGAGGACAGGCAAAAGCCAGGCUACAGAGUGGAAGGAACUUGUUGAGAUCCAGUUACCAGGGCGCCCUAUGCACAGAUCUGACUUCUUCAGUGCCCAGCCAGGUGGGAAGAGCAAAGCCAGGCCUGCCCAGAAGUGGCCCUGCAGCCUCUUGUGGGAGCACAGGGCUCUUGGUCUGCUGACUGCCUCCAGGUUAGUGGCCCCUUGGUGCCCAUGCCCCCUGCCACUUCUCAUGCUCUCUCUGCCUUUCUGUCCGUGUGUCUCCCCAGGUAAAGAUGAGCCUUCCAGCUACAUUUGCACAACAUGCAAGCAGCCCUUCAACAGCGCGUGGUUCCUGCUGCAGCACGCGCAGAACACGCAUGGCUUCCGGAUCUACCUGGAGCCCGGGCCGGCCAGCAGCUCGCUCACGCCCCGGCUCACCAUCCCGCCGCCGCUGGGGCCCGAGGCUGUGGCACAGUCCCCACUCAUGAAUUUCCUGGGCGACAGCAGCCCCUUCAACCUGCUGCGCAUGACGGGCCCCAUCUUGCGGGACCACCCUG
rnacentral:lncRNA from 1 species